UUUUUUUUGGUUUGUUUUCUGUUUUUUUGCAUUAUCUUUUCUUUAUUUAUUUUCUUUUCUGUUUUGAUUCAUUUUAAGUAUUUAGGUCUUUUAUAAAGGCAUGCAUCCCACACCAUAAAUUCCUAGGCAUUUAUUUGCUCACCCCGAACAUUUUGUCUUAAAUUUUGAAAAGUUUUUAUCCUUUGGUUGAUUUUGAAUUUGAAUUUGAAUCAGUUUCGAACUAACACGAGAUUACUAACAGUAAUCAAAGUGACGUGGCAUCGUUAACGGGGGAUUACUGUAGCCUAAUUAUCCGGGCGUCACAAUAUGAAUGCCUCCGGCGGUGUACCGGGAUGGUGCAAUGAAUCAAGAGUGACAUGUAUGAAAACUAAUGCAUGGUGGCUUUGCCACAAAUACGAUGUCAACUACAUGAUCAUGCAAUGGCAGUAUGACAAAAGUAAUGUAUGUCAUGAUGAUGAUGAUGGAAGUUGCAUGGCAAUAUAUCUCGGAAUGGCUAUGGAAAUGCCAUAAUAGGUAGGUAUGAUGGCUGUUUUGAGGAAGAUAUAAGGAGGUUUAUGUGUGAUAGAGCGUAUCGUAUCACGGGGUUUGGAUGCACCGGCAAAGUUUGCACCAACUCUCAAGCUGAGAAAGGGCAAUGCACGGUACCGAAGAGGCUAGCAAAGGCGGAAAGGUGAGAGUGCGUAUAAUCCAUGGACUCAACAUUAGUCAAAAGAACUCAUAUACUUAUUGCAAAAAUUUAGAAGUCAUCAAAAACCAAGUACUACGCGCAUGCUCCUAGGGGUAUAUAUUGGUAGGAAAAGACCAUCGCUCGUCCUCGACCGCCACUCAUAAGGAUGCACAAGCCAGGUACACUUCAUGUUUCAAAUUUGUUACACAACUUUAACCAUACAUGCAUGCUACAGGACUUGCUAACUUCAACACAAGCAUUCUUUAAAUUCAUAAUCACCCAACUAGCAUGACUUUGAUAUUAUCACCUCCAUAUCUCAAAACAAUUAUCAAGCAUCAAACUUAUCUUAGUAUUCAACGCACUCAUAAGAAUUCUUACAAAUCUUUUAUGCUUAGCAUAUUAGGAUUUUAAGCAAAUUACCAUGCUAUUUAAGACUCUCAAAAUAAUAUAAGUGAAGCAUGAGAGUUCAUCUAUUUCUUAAAAAUAAAACUACCACCAUGCUCUAAAAGAUAUAAGUGAUGCACUAGAGCAAAUGACAAACUACUCCGAAAGAUAUAAGUGAAGCUCAAUGACUAGUCGAAUAAUUAUACAACUAUGUGAAGACUCUUCCAUUUAAUAAUUUCAUAUAUUGAUACUUUAUUCAAACAGAAAGCAAAGCUAAAGAAAACUACAUUGCAAGGAUAGCACAACUCAUGUGAAGAAGCAAAAACUUAGGCUCAACUAAUACUAACUGAUAGUUGUUGAAGAAGAAAGGUGGGAUGCCUACCGGAGCAUCCCCAAGCUUAGAUGCUUGAGACUUCUUGAAAUAUUAUCUUGGGGUGCCUUGGGCAUCCCCAAGCUUGAACUUUUGUGUCUCCUUAAUUCCCCUCAUAUCAUGGUUUCUCUUUUUAUGAAAAGCUUCAUCCACAACAAACUCAACAAGAACUCGUGAGAUAGGUCAGUAUAAACCAAUGCAAAACCUUAUCAUUUUCUACUGUAACAAAUCACUCAAAUUAUUAUUCAAAAUUGCACACUAAAUGCCUCUUCAUAUUUAAUACUCCUAUCUUCAAAUAGAAUCAUUAAAUAAGCAAACAUAUGUAAACAAUACAACCAUAACAGCAAUCUGCCAAAACAGUACAAUCUGUAAAGAAUGCAAGAGUCAUCAUACUUUCCUAACUCCAAAAAUUAUGAACUAAAAUUCCCACUGUAAUAAAUUUAUCAGAUCUUAAUAUGCAAAAAUAUUCAACUUUAUACCACUCUCUGAAUUUUCUAGGGAAUUUUUGCAACAGCGGUAAACUUUCUGUUUUCAAACAGCAACAUGUAUACUAGCAAAAUAAGCAUGGCAAAGGCUAUCCUUGACUUUUUUAUUGAAACUAAGGAUGCAAAACAUUAUUAUAACUAACAUAAAGCAAAAACUAACAAAAGUAAAUGAUGCUCCAAGCAAAACACAUAUCAUGUGGUGAAUAAAAAUAUAGCUCCAAGUAAAGUUACCGAUGAACGAAGACGAAAGAGGGGAUGCCUUCCGGGGCAUCCCCAAGCUUAGGCUCUUGGUUGUCCAUGAAUAUUACCUUGGGGUGCCUUGGGCAUCCCCAAGCUUAGGCUCUUGCCACUCCUUAUUCCAUAGUCCAUCGAAUCUUUACCCAAAACUUGAAAACUCCACAACACAAAACUCAACAGAAAACUCGUAAGCUCCGUUAGUAUAAGAAAAUAAAACAACCACUUAGGUACUGUAAUGAACUCAUUCUAAAUUAAUAUUAGUGUAAUAUCUACUGUACUCCAACUUAUCUAUGGUUCAUACCCUCCGAUACUACUCAUAGAUUCAUCAAAAUAAGCAAACAACACAUAGAAAACAGAAUCUGUCAAAAAAAGAACAGUCUGUACUAAUCUGUAUCAAACAUAUACUUCUGGGACUCCAAAACUUAUACCAAAUUAGGAAUAUCUAUGCAAUUCGUGUACCAAUCCAGAGCAAAAAGAAUCAGAUCAGACGCACGUUUCUGUGAAUUAACAAAACUAAUUUACUGGGUGCAAAAGUUUCUAAUUUUCAGCAGGAUCAACACAACUAUCACCAUAAGCCAUCCUAAAGGUCUUACUUGGCACUUUAUUGAAACAAAAGCUAUAAAACAUGAUUAAUACAGUAGCAUAACCAUGUGGACUCACAAAAACAGUAAGGAUAAAUAUUGGGUUGUCUCCCAACAAGCGCUUUUCUUUAAUGCCUUUCUAGCUAGGCAUGAUGAUGAUAAUGAUGCUCACAUAAAAGAUAGGAAUUGAAACAUAAUGGGAGCAUCAUGAAGCAUAUGACUAGCACAUUUCUAAGUCUAACCCACUUCCUAUGCAUAGGGAUUUUGUGAGCAAACAACUUAUGGGAACGAUAAUCAACUAGCAUAGGAAGGUAAAACAAGCAUAGCUUCAAAAAUUUAAGCACAUAGAGAGGAAACUUGAUAUUAUUGCAAUUUUUAUAAGCAUAUGUUCCUCGCUCAUAAUAAUUUUCAGUAGCAUCAUGAAUGAAUUCAACAAUAUAAACAUCACCCAAAGCAUUCUUUUCAUGAUAUACUAGCAUAGAAAAUUUACUACUCUCCACAUAAGCAAAAUUCUUCUCAUGAAUAGUAGUGGGAGCAUACUCAACAAAGUAACUAUCAUGUGAUUGAAAAUUAAGAUCAGGAUGACAAGUUUCAUGGUUAUCAUUAUUCUUUAAAGCAUACGUGUCAUCACAAUAAUCAUCAUAGAUAGGAGGCAUGCUUUCAUCAUAGUAAAUUUGCUCAUCAAAACUUGGGGGACAAAAAAUAUCAUCUUCAUCAAACAUAGCUUCCCCAAGCUUGUGGCUUUGCAUAUCAUUAGCAUCAUGGAUAUUCAAGGAAUUCAUACUAACAACAUAGCAAUCAUGCUCACCAUUCACAUAUUUCAUGCCAAGCAUUCUAUGUAAUUCUUCUUCUAGCACUUUGGCACAAUUUUCCUUUCCAUCAUACUCACGAAAGAUAUUAAAAAGGUGAAGCGUAUGAGACAAACUCAAUUCCAUUUUUUUGUAAUUUUCUUUUAUAGACUAACUAGUGCUAAAACAAGAAACAAAAAGAUUUGAUUGCAAAAUCUAAAGAUAUACCUUCAAGCACUCACCUCCCCGGCAACGACGCCAGAAAAGAGCUUAGUUGAUGGGGUGUGAGUGAGUGCCCUUUACCUAGCCUCCCUGGCAAUGGCGCCAGAAAGGAGCUUGAUGUCUACUACACAACAUUCUUCUUGUAGACGUUGUUGGGCCUGCAAGUGCACAGGUUUGUAGGACAGUAGCAAAUUUCCCUCAAGUGGAUGACCUAAGGUUUAUCAAUCCGUGGGAGGCGUAGGAUGAAUAUGGUCUCUCUCAAGCAACCUUGCAACCAAAUAACAAAAAGUCUCUUGUGUCCUCAACACACCCAAUACAAUGGUAAAUUGUAUAGGUGCACUAGUUCGGCGAAGAGAUGGUGAUACAAGUGCAAAAUAGAUAGUAGAUAUGGGUUUUUGUAAUCUGAAAAUAUAAAAACAGCAAGGUAACAAGCGGUAAAAGUGAGCGUAAACGGUAUUGCAAUGAUAGGAAACAAGGCCUAGGGUUCAUACUUUCACUAGUGCAAGUUCUCUCAACAAUAAUAACAUAGAUAGAUAAUAUAACAAGCCCUCAACAUGCAACAAAGAGUCACUCCAAAGCCACUAAUAGCGGAGAACAAACGUAGAGAUUAUGGUAGGGUACGAAACCACCUCAAAGCUAUUCUUUCGGAUCGAUCUAUAAAAGAGUUUGUACUAGAAUAACACCUUAAGACACAAAUCAACCAAAACCCUAAUGUCACCUAGAUACUCCAUUGUCACCUCACGUCUAGUUAGGGAGGCUGAGAUUCAACUCAGAAGAUCGUGUCUUCACCUUAUUCCCCUUGAGCUAAGGGCACCUAGUCCCCGCCCAAUCACUCUGGUAAGUCUUCAAGGUAGACUUCCAAACCUUCACAGACUUCAUUCACCGGCAAUCCACAAUGACUCUUGGAUGCUCAGAACACGACGCCUAACCGGCUGGAGGAUUCACAGUCCUCAAGUGUAACAAGUAUUCAGAUCACGCGGACAGAAAGACUUCAGUGAUGCCAAACACUCUUCGGGCUCUGGGUGGUUUGGGCUUUGUCCUCGCAAGGAUUCUCUCUCAAAUGCUUCGGAGGUGGGUUGCUCUCAAAUGACAAAAGCCGUGCACUAACUCGAAGCAGCCACCAAUUUAUGGUGUAGGGGGUGGGCUAUUUAUAGCCACCGGGCAACCCGACUUGAUAUGUCUGAAAUGACCCUUGGUCACUAAGGAACUGACACGUGUCCCAACGGUCAGAUUUCAAACACAUGCGGCAGCUUGACUUGGGCUACAAGUAAAGCUGACUCAUCCGACUCUGGAUAAGAUUUGCUCUCAUUGUCUUUGCUCGAAGACAUAGGAUUAGGUUGAGCUUCACUUCAGUCACUCUGACUUUGUUCACUUGGACCCCACUUAACAGUGCGGUGGUUCCUAUGACUCAACAAAGAAGAAAAGGAAACACCAAAUCAACUAAGUCUUCGCGCUCCAUAGUCUUCAUGCAAUGUCUUCUCAUGUCAUAGUCUUCAAUGUGAAUAGCUUCACAGACCACCAUUGUCUUCAAUGUCUUCACACAUUUUUAGGGGUCAUCUCCGGUAGGUAAACUGAAUCAAUGAGGGACUACUACCUGUGUUAUCCUGCAAUUCUCACAAACACAUUAGUCCCUCAACCAGGUUUGUCGUCAAUACUCCAAAACCAACUAGGGGUGGCACUAGAUGCACUUACAAUCUCCCCCUUUUUGGUGAUUGAUGACAAACUGGUUGAAGUUUUCAACUGGGAUAAAAGUAUGUGAAAUUGUAAAGGAUUAAGAUAUUGUCUUCAUAGUUGGCAAAAAGGCUCCCCCUGAAGAUGUGCAUAUAACUGUUUUGUGUUGGAACGCAAAUGCACAUGGCAGGUUGUACUUGUGGAGAUCUUCUUCACCUUAAGAAGACAAUACAUCAUGCAUGAACAGAUAUAACAAUAAUAAUGACAUGCAUAAUGAAAAAUGGACGUCUGCAGAAUGACUUCAUGCGGGAUUUAUCAUCGCACAUGCAGAAUUUAUCGUCGCAUCACAGAAUGACAGAAAAAGCAGCAGACGACCAUCAAGUUUAAGUGUUACAACUCAAAUAACCAAAUGUAUCAAAAGCGAGAGUUGUAAACACUAGGCAAAAGUAUAGCAACCACCCAUAUGGACCAACAUCAAGACUAUCAACAUAUGCUUCUCCCCCUUUUGUCAGUAAGGACCAAAAAGGUUUGAAGACAUAGUCUCUACUCGUUCCCAUGAGGAGUAGGUGAGGCAGCAGGGUUGUCGUUGAGGUUUGGUGGUGCAGACGAACUUGGUGCAGUGUCGAUUUGCACUGAAGUUGGAGGUGGUGAAGUAGCAUCAUCAGCGUUAUCAAGAACUCUGGCAUUAACAGUUGCCGCGGAGGAGGAGUACUCAGAAUCUUCGAGUGAUGGAGUCUGACGCAAGACAGCAUUCCUGGGAGGAGUGGUGUCGAACUUGAAUCUCUCUAUGAAGCCAUCGUCUUGAAGAUCAGCUUCAGCACUGAGCAAUGUCAAACUCUUCCAAGACCACCGACAGGUUUCAUGAGUGACAAAGGCGUUCUUGGUGGCAAGGUUGCGAAUGCGAUUAAUAUCCACCAAGAGGCUUUGCAUCUGACGCUUGAGCCAGUAAUGAUGCUGGUCAUAUUUCUGGUGCAAGGCCACGAGAAGCUCUCGGUCAUUGAGCACACGAGAUCACUUCCGAGGCCUUGGAGCAAUAGUGCUUUCAGUGGCUUCAGUACGUGCACGGCGAGUAUUGCCAGCCAGCGGAUAAACACGAGAAGCAGCCUGAACUCCUUCAACAUGCUGAGAGAAACUCUGACAAUCGACAUUGUGAAGAUAAAUUGCCUCCUUGGCAGGCUCUGGGUAUAUGGCUUCGACGGACAUAUCAACCUCUGGCAAGAAUAUGAGAUGGUUGUGAGCAGAGGGCUGAUAGUCAACAGCAGAAUGAAGCUUGAUCAGACGCAUAACCCAUGGAGCAUAGAGUUUCAUACCAAAUAUGUUGGAGCCAGAUGCAGCAAAUUGGCGAAUGAAGAAAUCCUGAGCAUUGAAGUUGAUGCCACUGAGAAUAUAGAAGACCAAUGUCUUCAUUGCGCCUUCAAGCUUUGCUGAGGAAGAAUGUCCUUUGAUGGGCCAUAGAGUUCGCUUGAUAAUGUGAUAGAUGGUGCGGGGUAGAUACUCUAGGUCUUCAACAAAGAAUUCCUUAGGAUAUUCAGCAUCCUGCGGCAGUGGCUUCAUCAUACUCAGCAUUUGGCUCAUAUUGGGCUCAGGCUUCUGGAAGAUGUUUUCCUAUGCAUUGCAAUGAUGCUGACAACCAGGCUCAUAUAGUUCACCUGGAGUGGACAGGCCGGUAAGCUCAAUGAGAUCAAGAGCUUUGGCAUCAUGGUGUACAUUGCCUGUCAUCCACUUAAGGACCCAUGUCUUCGGAUCCCUGUUGUACCCGCGAAUGUGGAGAGUUGCAUAGAAUUGCAGCAAAAGCUCGUCAUUCCAAUUCUCCUUAUCACUGACAAACGGGAGAAGGCUUGCAUCUCUGAAACAGUCGAGGGCUUCUUCUAAGCAGGGCAGGCCAGCAAUGGCUUCGCAGUCCAAACGCAUAUGAGGAAAUAUCGCCCUUGAUUUUAUAGAACACAAGAGUAAUAGUUGCGCUGCUGAUAACUCCAGAACCGAUCAUAUGAUAUUCUUGGCUUGGAAUAUGGGUUCUUGGCUCUAUCAAAGAAAGUGUUGUGUGCGAUGAAGCCAUUGAUAUUGAAUGAUCCUGGUGCAGAUCCAGUACCUGGAAACCUUGGCAGCCUCGGUUUUGGCUACUGAACAUGUGGCAUGUGCUCCACAUGAUAAUCAAACUGAGGUCUGGGAGCAGGCGGAGGAACCAGAAUUGGCCAUCUGACAAUAACAAGCUCGCCUUGAUAAAAUGCUUGCUCAAUAGUGUGUGGCCUUGGUGGCGGAACAAGAGCAGUGGCAUUAGCAAGGGCGUGAGGCCGCACAUUUGUUGCAGGUGCAUCAUUGGCUUCAUGCACGAUGUUCAUUGCAGGCGCCACAUUAUCUUCAGCCAUGACAACGUCAUAGGCGUCAGUAGUGUUGUUGGUGGCUGCCUCAGGAUUUUCAACCUCCACUUGAGUAGCUGGAGGGUCGGGCACAGACACGUUCUCCUCGAGAACAUCUUCUUGGUUGGUAGGAGGCAUGGCAACACGUUCUUCUUCUUGACGGGGUUCUUGAUUUUCAUCGGUUGAUGCAGCCGGUAUGUCUUCAGCAGGAUUCGCUUCAGACACAGAGACAUUCGCAGUAGGAGUGGCUUCAGGAAACUCUAGCUGUGAUGCCACGUUGGGUUGCACUUCUCCUUUUGGAACGCUCGAUGGAGCAACUUGUGGCCUUGGUCCUUUGCGAAGCCUGUGAAAUGCGGGCGACGCCUUUGGAGUAAGAGUGGGAUGGACCACAUAGUUGUCAUCAUCAUCAAGCACCGGAUUGGUGACUUGAGGUGGGGGAGUUCGCGGUGAGUCUUGACUUGGUGUAGCUGGUUGGGGGCGAUCAGCCGAUGAGGCAUCCUAAGAGAUUGGCGUCAAAGGACGACCAAUACUAAUGAGUUUGUUGUUCGUGAGAACAGGCGAUAAUACCGUUGGGCGCUCGAUCUGAGGAAGACUUCAUCAACUUGUAUAGUUCGUGCAGAUCUGGUGGCAAAUCUUUGGAUGUAUUUCCUCGACGCUGUCUGCCACCCUUUCUUGCUUACUUCUCAGUAGCCAUGAAGCUUAACCUGAAAGGCUUCAGAACUAGCAAAGGCUUCCGACUGCUGGUCAGACAAGAAUUGGCUUCAGGAGAAUUUAUGUGACUCUGUAAGAAUUCUGCAAAUGAAUGCAGACUAUGAGAACCAAGGGAUUCUCCCACGGACAUGUACCUAUAACAGCAUUAGAGGUGCAUAUGCAUUCUCAGAAGAUUUUGAAGAUAAAUCAGUUUGAAGACAUUGACCUUAUAACGCGAAGACAUUCACUUAGUUGUUGUGAGUUGGUUCCACAUUUGUACGAAUCCAAGAAUAAGUACAAGUGAGGAAUCUAACUUGUAGAGAAGCAUAAGUGAACAGACUAGGCAUAAUAUGAGAUACAGAAUGGGAUAGAUUCAAUUUUGGAAGAAUAGAAACCACUUUUGGUAAAGAAGGAUGAAUCUAUCAGAUCAAAAAGAUGGUAAAAAGUAAAUUUUAAUUACCACAUGAUGAACUGCUAGACAGAGCAAAGUUGGAGGCCGAGCAGUUCGAUCUCUCGUGCCCUAACUUGGCAACGGAAGACACCUACGGCGGCGGCGGAGAAGACGAGGUCCGCGGCCGGCAUGAGGACGGCGUCGGUGAGGUCGCGGCAGCUAAGCGCUUCGUCGCCGGCAUCGUCGAGAGCUAGCGGUGGCGCUAGGGUUUGUGAGAGAUGGUGAGGUGGAAGAAAGAUUUUGAUCGUGAUGUGAUGGGUAUUUAUAAGGAAAGGGACGGCACAACGCAAUUACGCAGGUGCCCCUGGCGGUUCACAUCUGAAGGGCACGUGGAAAGCAUGCAACACCUUGGAAGUUGUUCCAUAUUCCCACGCAUGCCUGGAUUGUCGAGGUGGUCAUUCCGAAUUCUCCGGCUUUCAGGCAAUAAGGAUAUAGCAUUAAAAACAGAUAUAAAUGUUUGUCAGAUUGACUUCAGCUGACAAGGUCUCAGUGAAGACAAUCGAUAGUUUUCAAUAGAAUGCAUAUGAUUUGGACAGAUAGAGUUGAGGUAGAAGCAUAGAUAUGAUAGGGUCUGAUCACAUUCACUUUGAUCAAAAGAUUCAGCAAGAAGUCAUAGCUAUAAGUGAAUGAUGUAGAGGACGGAACAUAAAUAUGUAUAUAACAAGUAUAAGACCAAAACAACAAGAUGAAGUUAAACUUGAACGAAGUCAAGGAUGAAGACAAAUUACAUGCGAAGACUUUGCAAUCAUAACGCCAAGGGAAACACUUCAAACAAAAGUUUGGUGGUGGCUUUACCCACUAUAUAGGAAGUAUUAGACCCAGACAUGGUGCACAAUUAUCGUGGCACUCCGAAGUCAAAUUACGCAUUAAUUUAUUCACACUUAGAGUGUAUGUCUUCAUUGAUUGAAGAUAUACAUUACUUCGUGUGUUGCACAUCUAAGUCAUCAAAAUGCAUAAGUGUUAGGAUGUGUGUCCAAUCAUAGGACAUUUGAGGAUUCCAAGAUAUUUAGCUCACACCACAACUUGCAAAACCUUUUCUCAUCUAAGGGCUUUGUGAAGAUAUCAGCCAAUUGCUCUUCAAUGUUGAUGUGAAUGAUAUCAAUAUCUUCCUUCAUGACAUGAUCUCUGAGAAAGUGAUGACGAAUUUUAAUGUGCUUUGUCUUCGAGUGCUGAACUGGGUUGUUGGCAAUCUUGAUGGCGCUCUCAUUGUCAUAGUAGAGUGGCACAUUCUUCAGGUGGAUACCAUAGUCCUUGAGAGUUUGCUUCAUCCAGAGAAGCUGAGCACAACAAGAUCCAAUAGCAAUGUAUUCGGAUUCAGCAGUGGAGAGAGAUACACAGUUCUGCUUCUUUGGAUACCAUAAUCCUAGUGUUGGGGUGUAAGCCAAAGAAUUCACUUCACAGCUAAGUGAUGCGAUUCCUUUGGUGCCGCUUGGAAUCGGUCACACAUGCAAACACUAAGAAUUAUAUCUGGCCUAGAUGCACAUAAAUAAAGUAAAGAACCAAUCAGGGAGCGGUAUACCUUUUGAUCGAACUCUUUACCAUUGGCGUCGGGACCCAGAUGACUUUUGGUUGGCAUUGGCGUCUGUAUCCUUUGUAGUCUUGCAUUCCAAACUUCUUCAGGUAAUCUUUGAGGUAUUUUUCUUGAGAUAUGAAGAUGUCGUUGCGUUGCUGACGGAUUUGGAGACCCAGAAAGAACUUUAGCUCGCCCAUCAUGGACAUAUGAUAUUGCUCUUGCAUCAUGUGACCAAACUCAUCACUGUAUUUCUUGUUAGUGCAGCCAAAGAUAAUGUCAUCCACAUAGAUUUGGCACACAAACAGUUCACCAUCAUAUGUCUUCGUGAAGAGUGUAGGAUCUAGUGAACCAGGUUUGAAGCCUUUGCUCUUCAGGAAGUCUUUGAGUGUGUCAUACCAAGCAUGAGGGGCUUGUUUGAGGCCAUACAAUGCCUUGUUGAGCUUGUAUACCAUAUCAGGGUGUUUUGGAUCUUCAAAGCCAGGAGGUUGUGCAACAUAUACUUCUUAUUCAAUCUUUCCAUUUAGAAAGGCACUCUUCACAUCCAUUUCAUACAGAAGGAUGUUGUGAUGAUUUGCAUAGGCUAGCAGUAUGCGAAUGGAUUCAAGCCUAGCCACCGAAGCAAAUGUUUCAUCAAAGUCAAUCCCUUCCACUUGAGUGUAUCCUUGAGCAACAAGACGAGCCUUGUUUCUAACAACUUGACCAUGCUCAUGUUGCUUGUUGUGAUAUAUCCAUUUGGUGCCAAUGAUAUUGUGCUUACGAGGAUCAGGACGCUUGACCAAUUCCCACACAUUGUUCAGCUCGAACUGUUGAAGCUCUUCUUGCAUGGCUUGAAUCCAUUCGGGUUCCAUGAAGGCUUCAGCAACUUUCUUGGGUUCAGAGAUUGAGACGAAUGCAAAAUGCCCACAGAAAUUGGUUAGCUGUGUUGCUCUUUGAGUAGAUCUUGAACGAGUGAGUGGACCAGGUGCAUUGAUGCUGUCAAUUAUCUUCUCAAUUUGUACUUCAUUUGCAACUCGAGGAUGAACAGGACGAAGAUUUUGCUCUUGCUGAUCAAUGCCAUCAUUUGGGGGAUUGUCUUCAGGCUGAGCAUUGUCUUCAGGUUGAUUAGGUGCAGAAAUGAUAAGUUCCUCUUUAAUCUGAGCCUCAGAUGGUAUGAUCUCUCCAAUUCCCAUCUGCUUGAUUGAUUCACUUGGAGGUACUUCAUCUAGCACAUUUGGCAGGUGCUCUCUUUGCGAGCCGUUAGUCUCAUCGAACCGCACAUCCACAGUCUCAACCACUUUAUAGUGAAAGAGGUUGAAGACUCUGUAGGAGUGUGAAUCCUUGCCGUAGCCAAGAAUAAAACCUUCAUGUCCUUUCGGUGCAAAUUUUGAAGUGUGAUGUGGAUCCUUGAUCCAGCACCUAGCACCAAAUACUCUGAAGUAGCUUACAUUUGGCUUCUUACCAGUUAGGAGUUCAUAGGAUGUUUUCUUUAGAAGCUUGUGAAGAUAAACACGGUUGAUGACAUGGCAUGCAGUAUCAAUGGCUUCAGGGCAGAACUUCCGUGGAGUCUUGUACUCAUCGAUCAUCGUUCGAGCCAUCUCAAUAAGGGUUCUGUUCUUGCGCUCCAUGAUGCCAUUCUGCUGAGGUGUGUACGGAGCAGAGAACUCAUGAGUGAUUCCCAUAGUAUCCAGAUAAAGGUCGAGGCCGGUGUUCUUGAACUCGGUGCCGUUGUCACUUCUGAUAUGCAUGAUCUUGACGCCAUAGUUCGUCAUGGCACGAUUGGCAAAGCGUCUGAAGACAUCCUGUACUUCAUUCUUGUAGAGGAUUAUAUGCACCCAAGUAUAUCUAGAGUAAUCAUCAACAAUGACAAAGCCAUAGAGGCAAGCAGUGGUAGUGAGAGUAGAGUAGUGGGUAGGGCCAAAUAAGUCCAUGUGUAGCAGCUCGAAGGGUUGAGAUGUAGUCAUGAUUGUCUUCAGGGAUGCUUGUCCCUAGUCAUCUUUCUAGCUUCGCAGGCACCGCACAGAUGAUCCUUCUUGAACAUGACGCCUUUGAUGCCCACGACAUGCUUCUUCUUUGCGAGAGUGUGCAAGUUCCUCAUGCCAGCAUGCCCUAGCCUUCGAUGCGAAAGCCAGCACUCUGAAGCUUUUGCUAGAAGACAUACGGCCAUUUUUGGUCCUACUGAGAAAUCUACCAUGUACAGAUCAUCUUUUCGAUACCCUUCAAAGACUAGAGACUUGUCAGAUUCCACUAGUACAAGGCAACGAUACUUUCCAAAUACCACAAUCAUGUUUAAGUCACUAAGCAUUGAGACAGACAUUAAGUUGAAACCAAGGGAUUCAACAAGCAUCACUUUAUCCAUGUGUUGAUCCCUUGAUAUUGCAACUCUACCUAGACCCAAUACCUUGCUUUUACCAGUGUCAGCAAAUGUGAUGUGACUCUUGUCCAAUGGACGUAGCGUUGAAUCCAUCAGAAGACUUCGAUCGCCAGUCAUGUGGUUAGUGCAUCCACUGUCCAUAAUCCAUUCUGAAGUACGAGGUGUCAUAGCCUACAGUGCAGUUUGGGGGAUAGGCUUCACCAAGCGAGUUGUGAAGCAUAAACAUUUGGCGUACAAGUGGAACAUGGAAAUUCAUAUCUUGGUUAGGAUAGAUAGGAUGAGUGUCAAGGAAUCCUAGAACGAAAUACAUAGUAAGACCAUUUGGGCAUUUUAUCUUGCGCCCCACAAGAUGUUUAUGGUCCCAAGCAUUAGCAUUGGACGCCUUUGAUUUGGCUAGAGACCUUUCCCUGCAAAAGAGAGUUAAGUUUUCUUAACCACCCACAUUUUCAGGGGUGGCUUAGAAGCAAUGAGCCUAAGUGCAGCAUCUGAGAACUUCGGCUUUGGAGCCCUAGUAAAUAGCCUUGCAGGAGGUGAAUAAUACUCAUAGGAAUAAGCAGAGAAGUUCUUAGUUCUAUGAACAUAGCGGUUUGAGUAAACACGCUCAUAUUCAUGGGUCUGAGUAUGAUUUCCCUGCAAAACAUUGACGUUAGGGUGACUCAGAUGAGUCCUCGAUCUGGAUGAAGCUUUUGGACCAUAUGAAGCCUUUGGUAUGGGGUUUGUCUUCUUCACAGGUGGUGUCAUGAUGACAUUCACUGGAAGAUUCUCAAGACAACUUUUGGGUACCCAUAUCUUCUUCAUAGGUGGCCCAUUCCUGCAGUUAGUACCAAUAUACCUGGCAAACACUUCGCCAUUCAGAUUCUUAAACAGUUUAUAGUUUGCAUCAAAGGAUUCAUCAAUGAUAAUAGGGUUAGCACAAGUGAAACCAAAUAAGGUGGAUGGAUCUACUAAAGGUUCCGUUGCAGCAACCCAUGUGGUUUUGGGGUACUGCUCAGGCUUCCAGUACGACCCAUCAACAUUCAUUUUCCUCUCGAACCCAACACCCUCUUUCCUAGGGUUUCGGUUCAGGAUCUGCUUUUUGAGGACAUCACAUAAUGUCUGAUGCCCUUUGAGACUUUUGUACAUCACUGUCUCAAGCAGUGUCUUCAACCUAGCAUCCUCAUCAGCAAUAGUAGUGGUAUUCUCAACAGAGGGGUUAUGUAACACCCGGGUAAUUAAGCUACAGUAAUCCUCUGUUGAUGGUGCCACAUCACCACGAUUACUGUUGGUAAACUCCCGAUGGUUUGAAACCCAGUUCAAAUUUGAAAUUUAAAGUUAAGUCAAACAAAUAAAGUUUCCAAAUGUCAAAACAAAAAUGUUCGUUUGGUUGCAAAUAUUCACUAGCUAAUAAUCAUGUGGCAACCAACAUCAUUUGGCUCUCCCUUUACCUCUAGGAAAAUAUAAAGUGGCCCAGCAACAUUUAAUUCGAUCGUUUAAAAUUUCAACAAGUAGUCUUACAUUUCCCAAACCACUUGAAACUUUGUGGGACUCUCCAAAAUAAUGACCACUAAUUAUGUGACAAGUUUCAUGUUGAACAAAACUCAUUUGGUAAUUAAUUAAAAUGUCAAGGAGUGGUGAAAUGAAUAGCAGGAAGGUAAAAAAAGGAAAAGACUAAAAUCCUACUGUGUCUUUGGGCCACAUGUGACCACAGUGCACAUCGCCAAGCCCACCACAGCCUUUUCCCCUUCCUCUAUUCCUCUGUACAGAGAGGAGAUGGGGGCCAUGGCGUGGCAUGCAUCCACCCCCACCAUAGCCGCUGCCUUCGUCGUGUCGGCCAUCUCGCGGUCCUCCUGGUGGAUAAGAACAUCGUCGCCCCCCCCCCUGGUGAACCCUAGCGCCCACUUUCCUUCCCCCUUGCUCUCCUACCUGAUCUGGAGAGGCAACCGUACGCGACCGCCGCCGCUACCUCGUCGUUGACACGCUCCGAAACCACCCCUUCCCGCUCGAAGGUGCCAGGAGCUGCACCUCGACAUCCUCUACCUCCACGACAAAGCUCACGAGCAGGGACCUCCCCAAGCCGUGGUCAUCGUCCAUCUUCAUCCUCAAGUGCCGCCACUUGCUCGCCUUUGAUUCGGUCGACUCCGAGCAUCCCCGGCCACCCUGAGCUCCUCCUCGAACUUGUUGUUAGCCCCAAUCCCCCUACACCUCUCCUUGCUUCCCCGUGCACCGUAGACGUCACACUACUGGAGGCCGAAGCCACCGUCUGCCAUGGCCAGGGAGCCCCGCGCUACCGUCCUCGCCGCUGCACCGCAACUUCUGUGCACGCAUCCGCCGCGCCUGGUGCUGGCCGCUUCUCACUCUGGCCGCGUCCCUCGCAGCCGCGCGUGCGGCCUCGCCUGGCCGCACCCUUGGCCGUCGCGCCCGCUUACACUCGCCGGCCCUUGCACCGCUCGCUGUCGCCCCGAGCACUGCUGCUUGCCUCACACCCCGCCGCCUUAGCCGCUUCGGUCGCGCCAACAGGGCCGCCGCCGCCCGGAGCCUCACCCUGCUCCCCGCCCCUUGCCGCUGCUGGGCAAGGCCGCCGGCGCAAUGCGCCCGUGCGAGCCCAGNNNNNNNNNNNNNNNNNNNNNNNNNNNNNNNNNNNNNNNNNNNNNNNNNNNNNNNNNNNNNNNNNNNNNNNNNNNNNNNNNNNNNNNNNNNNNNNNNNNNNNNNNNNNNNNNNNNNNNNNNNNNNNNNNNNNNNNNNNNNNNNNNNNNNNNNNNNNNNNNNNNNNNNNNNNNNNNNNNNNNNNNNNNNNNNNNNNNNNNNNNNNNNNNNNNNNNNNNNNNNNNNNNNNNNNNNNNNNNNNNNNNNNNNNNNNNNNNNNNNNNNNNNNNNNNNCUAAACCCCACUAACAGCUCGGCCCGAGGCCACUAACUAAAACAUAUUAGUUUUUAAUAUAAACUGUAUUUAGACCCUGAGUCACUGACGCGCGGGUCCCACCGGACCCACUAACUAGUCAACCAUCGACCAGUCAACUCCUGAGUCAGCAGUUGAUUGGACCCAAUGUCAGCCUCUAGUGCACCUGUGGGUGUACUGCACCGGGUGCACCCAGUUUUAACCGGUGUUUUUUUUCAGAAUUAAUAAUUCUAGAAUAUUGUUCAAACUUUGAAAAUUCAUAGAAAUUAAACCGUAACUCUGAUGACAAUGUUUUCUACAUGAAAGUUGCUCAGUAAAAUGUGAUGAAUCCGGAUACGUGGUCCGUUUACUUGUCAGAUGCCUCUUACUAUCUGAACAUGGAACAUUCCCCCUCCGGUCAUCUGUCUGACACAGGUCCGGAACCUGGAAUACAUUCCCGAAUGAAUUCCCCCUUCGCCUAUAUCGUGUAGCCAUACAUUAUGUCACACCCGGCACAACUUAUAGCCACGUUAUGCUUUGUGAUGCUAUGUUUGCUUUAUAUUUACUGUUUCUUCCCCCUCUUCUCUCCGGUAGACCCCAAGACCGAUGCUACCCCUGUGAUCGACUACGUCGACGACGACCCCUCCUUGCUAGAGCAACCAGGCAAGCCCCCCCCCCUUUGAUCAUCUCGAUAUCACCCAUUGCAUUCUCUCAUGAUUGCAUUAGAUUUUUCUAUUGUUAUUGUUUGCUCCUAUUCUGAUGCAUAGCCUGCUUUUGUAACCUGCUUAUUGUUACCUUACCUGCUUAUCCUAAACUGCUUAGGAUAGGUUGGUUAGUGAUCCAUCAGUGACCCCCACCUUGUCCUUGUUGCCCAUGCUUCGUCAUCGAAGACCCAAUCAACGGGAUUGAAGACCAGGCCCCGGCACCGCACAUCACUUUACCCUUAGUUGCUCGACACUUCUAGGUUACUAUCGAGUGCCGAGGGUGAGACCUCUACAGCACUUCUUAUAUUAACCAUGUAGUGUAGCUAUUCGGUCGUGGUCAUCGAGGGUGAUUCCGCCUUAACCACUUCCGAUACGACUCUGUCGUGCAACCCCUCAAGUGUGAACCUUGGGGGUGAUUCCUCUUACGUUCACCUUGAUGAUUACAUCGAGUGGAAUUCACCGGGGGUGAUUCCUCGGGUUUUCCCCUUGAUGUUUAGACACACAGUUACUAUGAUUACUAUGACUUUACACUGAACCAUGUUACUAAAGACGGGUCGACCCUGAGGGGUACCCGCGCGAGCAUAAUUGCGAGUGAUGUGGAGUCGGGUUGACCUGGAGGGUGCCCAGGAGAUAAUUACAAGGCGUGGACGGGCAUUCUUAGCCCUUGCCGCAAGUCCUCGAGAUGGGGCAACGGGGUCACAUCUUUCGUGAGUCUUUGCUUGUUACCGCGUGUUCCUAAUCCACUACGAUUUGGAUAUUUGAUCCGAGGGGCCUCUGGCCUGAUCGCACUAACCAUCACGUGGGCAUAGUAUGGGCGUUCUGCGUCGUAUACAUCAGCUGAAGCUUAAUAGACGUCAGCGACUGAGCGGCGCGCGCCGGGUUGGACUGGUAAGCACCUACUUUUUUAAAGGAGGUAGCUAGGUCUGCUCACCGGCCGCGUACGCAACAUGCAGGAGUUUUCGGGGCGAUAGCCCAUGACCCCUGGGGGUAUAGGUUUAGUCCGGCGUGCUGGCCUCUCUAAUAAGCCUAGGUCGGGUUGCCGCGUAUUGUUUGGCCGAGGCCGGGCAUGACCCAGGAAAGUGUGUCCGGCUAGAGUUAAUCGAGCGUGGUGGGUAAGUUGGUGCACCCGUGUAGGGAAGAAAACAUCUAUCGAUAGCCUAUCCUACGGUAACGGACACUUGGAGUUGUGUCCCGAUUGAUACAACUAGAAUUGGAUACUUGUGAUGAGAAUUGGAUUGUGAUGAGAAAUGGAUAGUAUGGCUCUGGGAUUGCUUUCUCGCAGGGAGUCGAGAAAGGAUCUCUGGCCGAGGUUGAAUAACACUACUACUACUUUAUCUUAUGCUACUCUACUCCCUCCUGUUUGCGGCAAGAUUGUGGUUUUCAGAAGAUGCUAGUCUUCGAUAGGACUAGGCCUUCUCUCUAUUCUGGCAUUUCUGCAGCCCCGUCCACAUAUACAACCUUUCUUUGAUAAUGUUGCAUAUGUAGUGUAGAUCCCUGCUUGCGAGUACUUUGGAUGAGUACUCACGGUUGCUUUGCUCCCCUUUUCCCCCUUUCUUUUUAUUUCCGGUUGAUGCAACCAGAUGUCGGAGCCCAGGAGCCAGAUGCCACCCCAAUGCCUACUACUACGUGGAGACCGCCGACGAUCAGGAGUAGUUAGGAGGCUCCCAGGCAGGAGGCCUUGCCUUUUCGAUCGUUGUUGCUUUUGCGCUAGCCUUCUUAAGGCAAACUUGUCUAAGUUAUGUCUGUACUCAGAUAUUGUUGCUUCCGCUGACUCUUUUGUAUUUGAGCUUAUGUAUUCGAGCCCUCGAGGCCCCUGGCUUGUAAUAUAAAGCUUGUAUUAUUUUAAUUUGUGUCUAGAGUUGUGUUGUGAUAUCUUCUCGUGAGUCCUUGAUCUUGAUCGUACACAUUUGCGUGUAUGAUUAGUGUACGAUUAAAUCGAGGGCGUCACAAGUUGGUAUCAGAGCCGACUGCCUGUAGGUAGCCCCCUUUCAACUCCUUGGCCGAAGUCGAUUCUAGUCACUACAAAAAUUUUACUAACAUUUCUGUGUGGCUUACGGGCCCACGUUGCCAUUGGGUGGUAUUAGGAUCUUUUAUUCCUCGUCUUUACUCUGGGACCCUAAUCUAUCUUCUAUUCGGGUUAAAGAUUUUACUAACUCUAACCUUAGGUUCUCGUAACUACUUCCUCCCGGAGAGCCCCUCAUUCUAGAUGGUCGCUUGGUGCACCAGAAGAUUCGGAAGAUACUCUUCGAUGCUUUCCCGAGACCCUUGUUCCCUUCGCCGUUGCAAUUCCCUACCACCGAUAAAUCCCCAUGGAUAGCUACAUACACUUGCCAUCCAUACCUUCUUUUCCAAUUGCUCUUGUUCCUACAAGAUACACUGAAAUACUUUGCAAUUUUUCCGAGAAUCUUUUGCGCCUGCUGCCUUGCAGCUCCUUUUCCGCCUGAAUACCCAUACGAAUAAUUCUUCACACUUAUCGGGGAUUCGUUCAUCCCCAGUUGAUCAUAUGUCUCACAAAAUUCUUCGAAUGCAAUUCGAUCUCCCGAUGAUCCUCUAUAGCCUAGUGCUCCCGAAAGUCUUGUCUGCCUGCAUUAUGGUUAAAUCCAUAUGUCCGACAAUAUUCAUUGACAUCCUUUGUCAUUGUCAUCCUAAGCCUAUUGAUUCAAUAUGUUGCGUUGCUCGCAAUCAUCAGUCAAACCCUAAAAUUUGACCUUCUUGCUCAUAUGUCAUUUUGGACAUGAGUUGGAUCUCGGCCAAUCAUGUUGUAAUUGAUUGUCCACCUAGUUCCCUUCAACUUGAACAUCGAAAUUAUUCAGCUGCUUCUAUAAUCCGAUGACUUUGCACUAUUUCUUCUUCUGGUUGAGCAUUGUUACUCACAUCAGAUUCUUUGUGGUCAGCCAUAUCCUUUGGUGGAUUAUUAUCUAACCGUUCCUGCCUAUUCUCUAAUCCUUGAGUUCUUCCCCUCAUACAUAAUGCCUUUGAUAAAUUGUACCCUCUGCUUAUUGUCAACCAUGCUCUGCUAUUGAGCUGAUGUUAUACGCUCUGGAACUUAGUGGUAUAUGUUCCUAAGAUACCCCUACAAGUUGAAUCUAUUCCUUCCCUAGUCCGAGUGAACUCGAAAGAGAUGUGAGUCAUACUCUUCUGGUGCUUCACCAGAUAAAUCUUUCGCACUACAAAUUCUUCGAAAACAAGGAGUGAAUGAAAGGUUAUGCAUUGAAGAAGUGGGAGGUGACCUUGAACCUUAGUGUUCAUGCCCAUGGGCCCGAUGUAGAACGUAUCAUGGAAGCUGCUCGUAAAAACAAUUACCCCUUGUUAUAAGUUCAUCUGGUAUCAGUGAAUUGAUCCUUCGCAACCGUGGUUUCAACCAUGAUUGUCCUUCUUUGGUCCCAUUUCUUGGACAAGUUAAAUCACUUGUCUUCUGCAGGUCAAUACGCCUGCCCAACCUCUAUUAUGAUCUACCUUCGAGUAUUACCCCUGGUAUCUUGAGGAUAUCAUGCCAUUGCACUACAUCUUAUGAACUUUUGAUGGAGUACUACCUUACCCAUGUCUUUGUCACAUCAAGGGUUCUGGGUUGUUUGUCAACUGAGAACACCGAUAAGUGAAUCGAUUCCACACUCUGAUUCAAUAACUCUAAGUAUUUUUUGUUGCUUACGAGUUUAAUAAUCCUUCUAGUCAAUCCUAGCCUGGUCGACAAUAUCAUUAUCAUGCCAAAUUUUAAUUGUGCUACCUGGUUCUUCUUCCCGGAGCACAAUUUUGGACGAUGAGCUAAGCAUAUUUCGCUCUUCCUCAUCAUAUCAUUUCGCCUUGAACAACAAGCUUGUUUUCGAGUUUGUGCCAUACAUGUGGUUCCAAUAACCUUAUGCUUCUUCAUUCCUUUGACUUGAUGUCAUCGCCAAUCGAUUACAUCUUCAUGAAAUUUCUCGACAAAUGUAUCGUGAUCAUCAUCAACAUCCUGAGCUCUUCCAGGAUAUUAAUUAAAUUCAUGAUGAGAAAUACCAUCCUUGACCUUUGAUGAUUUCAGUUAUCAUCGACAACCCCCCUUGUCUUCUUUCCAACACAUGUUUGAUCAUGUCUUGGUUAUACCUUUGACUCCUUGCUAUUCCUGCAAUUGUUCCUUGAGUAUUUCUUGUGAUCUUCAACUCCAGCCCCUACUUGGAACACCAUGUUAAUGCUACCUCGAAGCAUGACUGAGGUAUUCCGAAUAUCAACAAGAACAUUGGAAGCACAUUGUCAAAUGUUUCUUGAUCUAUUAUCCAAACACCGUUGUAUGGGUAAUAUCAAGAUUCUUCCCUCGCCCCCUUUAUCUAAAUGCUUUUGAACUUGUUGUUAGAUCAUGUAUAUCCUGCUCCGCUUCCCCUUGGGAAGGAUAUACUCCUAAUUCGUGUGUGUAAACACAUUUUCCUUUCCAUUGGUUUGUUAGUCUUUCUUUUGAUCUAUAUGAUAAAACAAGAAAUAAUUCCUUGCUUAUAAAAACACCUCAAGGUACAGUUCAUUCAGUACGACCCUGUUACUAAUGUUGAUGACAUUCCGGUAACCACCAAUGGACGAGAACUUUGCCUACUAGUCCGCCUCGUUCAACGAGAAGGAAAAUGGUUCUCUUCGUCCCUCACCCUUAGUACCAACGUUGUUGCCAACAUAACUGACAGGCUAUCCUCUGACCUGCCUUGUUAUUACGACCGUACAAAAUGUUAGCACCCUUCCUGCUUUUAACCCACAUGGUGGGCCCAUAACCCACAGUUCCACAGGAUCGAAACCUGACAAAUGUACACCCCUGUUUCCAAAGUUGUCCCUCGUGCUUGGCUUCGUAUGUAAAUCACGAGUGACCUACCUAGUGAUCUAUUUUGGUAUCAUACGCAAUGCUUUUUCACAUUGCUCUGAGCCCCUUUCACCCUCUGUUUUAAGGCAAUGAAUGAUUGCCUACCCGGUUGAAGCUUCUUAUUGUACCUCCUUACCUUGCUCUCGACGUCUUUCUUGAAUUUCGACUCACGACAUGGCAUUAUGCCAUGUUCACUGAGAUAGCCCCUAGGUACCUAUCUUGUGCUGAACUCCGUCCUUCCCGAGUCUUUCCCCCUUACUCCACCCCUUAAAUCUCGGGACGAGAUUUCUUGUAGUGGAGGAGAUUUGUAACGCCCGGGUAAUUAAGCUACAGUAAUCCUCUGCUAAUGGUGUCACAUCACCACGAUUACUGUUGAUAAACUCCCGAUGGUUCGAAACCCAGUUCAAAUUUCAAAUUUAAAGUUAAGUCAAACAAAUAAAGUUUCCAAAUGUCAAAACAAAAAUGUUCGUUGGGUUGCAAAUAUUCACUAGCUAAUUAUCAUGUGUCAACCAACAUCAUUUGGCUCUCCCUUUAAUCCCUAGGAAAAUAUAAAGUGGCCCAGCAACAUUUAAUUCGGUCGUUUAAAAUUUUAACAAGUAGUCUUACAUUUCCCAAACCACUUGAAACUUUGUGGGACUCUCCAAAAUAAUGACCACUAAUUAUGUGACAAGUUUCAUGUUGAAAAAAACUCAGUUGGUAAUAAAUUAAAAUGUCAAGCAGUGGUGAAAUGAAAAAGCAGAAAGGUAAAAAAAGGAAAAGACUGAAAUCCUACUGUGUCUUUGGGCCACAUGUGACCACAGUGCACAUCGCCCAGCCCACCACAGCCUUUUUCCCACUCCUAUGUUCCUUUGUACAGAGAGGAGAUAGGGGCCAUGGCGUGGCAUGCAUCCACCCCCACCAUGGCCGCUGCCUUCGUCGUGUCAGCCAUCCAGGGCCGGUCCUGAGGGAGGGCGAACGGGGCGGCCGCCCCGGGCCCCCAAAAGUCAGGGGCCCCCUCCCAGGGUAUGUGCACGUAUAUGUAUUACUUCGAGCGAAAAUAAAAAAUGAAGGCAAAGUGGCGAAGUCAGCGACGGCUCAGCCUAGGAAAGAAAGAGAGAGAUGUGGGCCUUGCCAAUGUUUGCACCACGUCCACGUAUAGGCACAAGACGUGCACAGGAAAGGAAUCGCUGGAUUCACGGUUUCCUUUUUCUUCGUGAUCGUUCGGUCGUUCUUCCGCUGAUACCGCUGUUCUGUUCGUCUAAUCGUCGUCUUCAACUCUGCGUCUCUACGGCCUCCGACCGUCCGACGAACGACGGAACGAGACGACGAUCGCGGACUGCAGCAGCCAGUAGGUACAUCUCUCCUCGUGCCCUCUGCGGCUCUGCCGUGCGGUCUGCCCUCUCUUCUAGUGUUCAGUGCUCUUCCUGGUUUUCUUAAUCCUAAUUCCCGAAUCAACAUGUCAAUAUGGAAUUGCUGGCUGGGCGAUCAAAUCUUCGAGGAUUGAGCACACAUAGGCAGAUUAGAUUACAGAGACAAGGUACUAUAUUAUGCCCUACCAGAUUUUUUCAUGAUAUUAGAUGAAGAUCAUACGUAAUUAAUCUAAUAUUCUAAUUAGCUUUCUGCUAAUUGUUCCUUUAAAUUUCAUCAAGGUCAUGUCGGCUCUGGGUAGAAAGUAUCCAUCCGCAAGUCAUAAAAGAAAAAAGAAGGAGGCGGAUGAGGAGAAAGAGGCAUUAAAACGACCAUUUUAAAAUAUUAUAAGAGCAAUACGAGCACUUCAAGAAAUCAAGAGGAGUUGCCGAUAGUUCUCGCAGUUGAUCAAAAGUCAUUCCGAAAGAUGAUGGUCAUACCCUUAUAAAAGAUGAUGUUGACAUCAACAUGGAUGAUACCAAUGUGAGUGAUCACGAGCCUAUAUUUAAUUCAAAGCGGCAGAAUAUGCAGGUUUUCUUGAGAAACCGAUUAUUACGGUAGUCUUGAUAACAAAACGAGGGACAUAUUAGUGGAAAAUGGGCCUAAAAGAAAAUAAGAAAACACUAAAUAUCCUUUGCAUAAAACUUUAAAACAUUUUUGUAUAGUCCUUACUCAAGAGAAAUGAGUAAUGGAGAGGUGCGUGGAAUUAUAUCUAAUAUGAUGAUUACUAGUUAGACGAUUAUACUAAGGGCCCCGGAUUAUAGUUUCGCCCCGGGCCCCUGAAAUCUCAGGACCGGCUCUGCAGCCAUCCCGCGGUCCUCCUGGUGGAUAAGAACGUCGUCGCCCCCCCGAUCUGGAGAGGCAACCGUACGCGACCGCCGCCGCCGCCUCGUCGUUGACACGCUCCGAAACCAGCCCGUCCCGCUCGAAGGUGCCAGGAGCUGCGCCUCGACGUCCUCUACCUCCACGACAAUGCUCACAAGCAGGGACCUCCCCAAGCCAUCGUCAUCGGCCAUCUUCAUCCUCGAGCGCCGCCACUUGCUCGUCAUCGAUUCGGUCGACUCCGAGCAUCCCCGGCUACCCUGAGCUCCUCCCCGAACUCGUUGUGAGCCCCCGGUCCCCCUACACCUCUCCUUGCUUCCCCGUGCACCAUAGACGUCACACUACUGGAGGCCGAAGCCACCGUCUGCCAUGGCCAAAGGAGCACCGCGCUCCCGUACUCGCUGCUACACUGCGCCUUCUGUGCGCGCAUCCGCCGUGCCCGGCUCUGGCCGCUUCUCACUCUGGCCGCGUCCCUUGCAGCCGAGCGUCCGGCCUCGCCUGGCCGCACCCUUGGCCGUCGCGCCCGCUUACACCCGCCGGCCCUUGCGUCGCUUGCUGUCGCCCCGAGCACUGCUGCUUGCCUCACACCCCGCCGCCUUAGCCGCUUCGGUCGCGCCAACAGGCGUCUGGCCGCACCUGCCAGGGCCGCCGCCGCCCAGAGCCUCACCCUGCUCCCCGCCCCUUGCCGCUGCUGGGCAAGGCCGCCGGCGCCAUGCGCCCGUGCGAGCCCAGCCGCCCCCUGCCUCUCUUAAUUUGGGGGCUAACCCCCCCCCCCUAACUCUAACCCACUCACCUAAACCCCACUGACAACUGGGCCCCAGGCCACUAACUAAAACCUAUUAGUUUUUAAUAAAAACUAUAUUUAGGCCCUGAGUCACUAACGCGUGGGUCCCAUCGGACCCACUGACUGGUCAACCAUGGACCAGUCAACUGCUGAGUCAACAGUUGACUGGACCCAUUGUCAUCCUCUGGUGCACCCGUGGGUGUACUGCAUCGGGUGCACCCAGUUUUAACUGGUGUUUUUUUUCAGAAUUAAUAAUUCUAGAAUAUUGUUCAAACUUUGAAAAUUCAUAGAAAUUAAACCGUAGCUCCGAUGAAAAUGUUUUCUCCAUGAAAGUUACUCAGAAAAAUUUGAUGAAUUCGGAUACGUGGUCCGUUUACCUGUCAGAUGCUUCUAACUAUAUGAACAUGGAACAUUCCCCCUCCGGUCAUUUGUCUGACAUAGGUCCGGAACCAGGAAUACAUUCCCGGUUGAAUUCCCCCUUCACCUAUAUCAUGUAGCCAUACGUUAGAUCACACCCGGCACAGCUUAUUGCCACGUUAUGCUUUGUGAUACUAUGUUUGCUUUAUAUUUAGUGUUUCUUGCCCCUCUUCUCUCCGGUAGACCCCGAGACCGAUGUUGCCCCUGUGAUCGACUACGUCGACGACCACCCCUCCUUGCCAGAGCAACCACGCAACNNNNNNNNNNNNNNNNNNNNNNNNNNNNNNNNNNNNNNNNNNNNNNNNNNNNNNNNNNNNNNNNNNNNNNNNNNNNNNNNNNNNNNNNNNNNNNNNNNNNNNNNNNNNNNNNNNNNNNNNNNNNNNNNNNNNNNNNNNNNNNNNNNNNNNNNNNNNNNNNNNNNNNNNNNNNNNNNNNNNNNNNNNNNNNNNNNNNNNNNNNNNNNNNNNNNNNNNNNNNNNNNNNNNNNNNNNNNNNNNNNNNNNNNNNNNNNNNNNNNNNNNNNNNNNNNNNNNNNNNNNNNNNNNNNNNNNNNNNNUCUCAUGCUUGCAUUAGAUUUUGCUAUUGUUAUUGUUUGCUCCUAUUUUGAUGCAUAGCCUUCUUUUGUAACCUGCUUAUUGUUACCUUACCUGCUUAUCCUAAACUGCUUAGGAUAGGUUGGUUAGUGAUCCAUCAGUGACCCCCACCUUGUCCUUGUUGCCCCUGCUUCAUCAUCGAAGACCCGAUCAACAGGAUCGAAGACCAGGCCCCAGCACUGCACAUCACUUUCCCCUUAGUUGCUCGACACUGCUGGGUUACUAUCGAGUGCCGAAGGCGAGACCUCUACAGCACUUCUGAUGUUAACCCUAUAGUGUAGCUAUUCACUACUAGAAAUCCCCUUAUAACCGACAGUCAAAUUACCGUCGAAUAUUUUAGUUCACCGUCGGAUAUCCUUAUAGCCGACGGUUCACCGUCGGCCAUCUCCCGUCGGCUUUGCUUUGUCGGCCAUUACACUAAUAGCCGACGGUACGGUCGACUAAAACCUUCACCCACGGUAAUAAGCUGACGGUGAACCGUCGGAUAUGUGUUGGUCGCGAGCCAGCUCGCAAUAACUUGACGACCCUUAUAGCCUAGGGUUACCCGUCGGGUGUAUCAUUUCAGACAAUUAUUGCUCACCGUCGGAUUUUAUAAUGGUCGACGGUAUACUUCACCCGACAGGGUUAGUGACUACCUUGAGGGGAACCAAGCCCUCAGCUAAUAUGAUUGCCGAUAGUCGAUACACCCCUUUGGGGAAUCUUUUAUUUGAGAGUCCAAUGAACACCGUCAAUUUUAUAAUUCGUGUAUGGCAUUAGUUACACCUCCUGUAUUGCUUUGACAGGAGGGUGUUGCACAAAAGGGAACUGUGAUUCACAACGGUAGCAUUUCACAAUAUUGGCUUAAAUGUGUCACAUAAUUACACAAGCACACAUCACAAAAGACCAUAAUAUUAUAUUUAACAUAACCUCAGAAAGUAUCACAAGCCCAAUGAGUUGCAUCCAAAUUACAUUGACCGUAAUGAUCCAUCUUGGAAGUGUCAAAUGCAAAACAAAAUAGUAACUAAGAUAUUAUUGUACAAAUAUUUUGCAUAAGCUAAGUUUGCCAUGAAUUUCGGGAAAUUCUCUUUAUUGCAUUACUUGAAGAGAUCAUCAAAUUCAUCACCAUCAUUGCCAUAGUUAUCAUACUGCUCAUCGCCAUAUGGAUCAUCAUUACCCUCGACAUAGAUGUCUUCUCUCUCUUUGCCUCCCUCUGGUAUGUCUUUCACAUUCCCUAAGAAACCGUAAUACUAGUUGUAAGAGGGAUGAAGUAUGUAAUGUACUUGAAAUUUAGUUGACCUCCAAGGACCAAACUUAAUAUAGUUGUUCAAAUUUAAUUGAACUGACACUUGAUGAGCGAAAGACCAACAUGUGAUAUAUACAACUUUGAAAUAGGAAGAGACUCAAUGUGUACCUCUAAUGUCAUGUAAAUUAACAAAAUCAUAAUUAGCAAUAUAGUUAGACCAAAAUGGUCAGGUGAUACAUGUAAAAAUAAUCUUUAUCUGAAAGACAGUAGUUGUGUGGAUAGUUAGUUCAUUGGCUUUAACUUGAGAACAUUUUACCAUACUGUAUGCUUUAACUUGUAAAGUUGCGAUCAUACAUGGGGUUAAUUAGAAUCGUGAAAUUUGCAAUUUUCUGCAUGGCUCAAUUAAGGUGUGAAGGUCAUGAUUUUUUUUUGUUGAGAAAAGAGGUUCUGAUCUAUUUCAUAUGCAGUAUAACCUGUGCUGAUUUUCCAGGGACCUAGCUCCUCUACAACUAGAAUUUCUGUUACUGAAUUACAACACUCACUGAAAAAUACUGAUCAUGUGUGUAUUGUUGAUCUCUAAAAGAUAGAAAUAUUCAGUUUGGCUCCCAAGUAACAAGUUUCUACAGUACAUUUGUAGAGAUGUGCAUGUGAGAAUGGAAAAACUGAUGUUAUAAUUAUGCUCAAAGUAUGAUACAACAAACUGCAGUUAGCACUACAACAUAUGCUUGUAAUAAAGUGCAUGAAGCCAAGUGCAUCAUUAUGCUCAAAUUAAGAUGCAAAAAACUGCAGUUUGGCUCCCUCAUAGUUAGCCGGCUUUGCUACUGCAACAUGUGAAGAAGAGAAACUACAAAGUGGGGUUUCACCUUGCUGCAAGCCAAUUAACCUACACGAGAUUAUUCACACCAGAUAUGCAGAACAAACCUUAAUGGCUUCAAUAUUUUCUGCUUGACAUACACAGCAGACUGAAGUGAUGUGAACUUGGCAAGUGAUGUAAUGAAAGCAUACCUUUGAGUUUUCAUGGACAUAGCUGCAGUGACAAGUAUUACACAGCGGAAUCCCUCGAUGCACUGGCAUGCUACAUUCUAGCCGCUACUUCAUAUAUGACAUGUCCAUCUAAUUCUGGUAACCCAGGGCGGUGGGGAGGAGAUGGGAAAGGAUAAGGGGUUAGUCACUAGAUAUUAAUUAUGGUCAAAGAAGAGUAAGUGAUUGGCUAGCAAAUUUAUUUUGAUGGCUGACUGCACAAUCUGAACUAUACACCUUUGAAAAUGCAUUAGACUCUUGCGCUUGGAAGUUUAGAACUACUACAUUGUUGCUUUGUAAAUACAGGCAUGCUCACUUGCUGGUUUUAUUUUGGUGUGUAGGCAAAAGUUAAAACUGAACCACAAUCUCAGGUUUAGGGAUGCAAAUGGCAACUGAUCACAAAAUGAUUUAGAAACAAGUGCAACCCUGUAACUUUCAGCAAGAGAAAGAGAAGUACAGUUAGCUGUUUCAGAUUUAAAGAGACAAUUCCGUCUUUCACCGGAUGCAAAAUAUUUUUUUAUGUGCUCACUACUUGAAAAAAACUAACACAAGUUUACACCACCAGUGAAACAUCUUAGGCAUCACAUUGAUUUUGGUCGUAUAUCAUUAGGUAGGUAUCAGCCCCUGUUGUAGUCCUCCUAUUCCACUAUACAACAAACUCUCAAAAGAAAAACACAACACUUAUUUGUUUGCAUCAUCAAUUGGUAAAGCUUCCGGUGCCUAAACGUACUUAUGCUGCUGAAUAAGAAUAAUUUAUGUUGUUGUCCACAAUGUCAUGGUGCAGCAAAUCGUUUGCUGUAGGUGUGCAGAAAAGCAACAAGGCAAUAAGAGAUAAUGUGUUCUUCGUGGAAAUACAUAUGCUGAGACACCAAGGAUUCGUGGUCAUCCCUCUUCAACACUACCUACAAGAACAUUAGGAAGCGGAAAGGAGUGCAAUUACAAUCUCAGAAUCAGAAAUCCAAAAUUGCAAGUGUACAUGAGGGGGGGCGUAAAAAAUACUUAAUUUACUUGUCGUUCCUCCAGAUGCAAAGGAUCCAGCAGGAUAGCAAUAAAGAACGAUCUGUGAAUGUGAGAUUCAGGGGAGACACGGCGGCUGGACUGUCAGGACCCUGACAAGUUGUUCCUGUUAACUGAAGAACGAGACACUAGCUCUGAAGAAAUAGAAUUCAGUCUCUGGGAAUCGGACCGCUGGGAUCAAUUGGGCUAAAUGACCAUCGAUGGCUCUCCAGUUUCCUGUUCACCGUCAACUGUUGCCGCCACCAGCUAGACAGUAACAGUGACGGCAACGACUCCUUCGGUCCCACGCCUUCGUCACCUGCCUCCAACGAUAAAAGGCCCAGCCAGCAUUCUGGAAAAGCAUCUUUCCCCUUUCUCCAAGUGUAAUAGCUAGCUACCUUAAGAACCCUAGAGUACAUGGUAGAAAUUGGGCAGAUCCUCGAUCUGAACCCCUGUAUCUAUAACUCUGAAUUUCGAGAUAAUAUCAAGCGGGGCUAGUUCGAGUAAUUGUUGAGUUGUUGUUGUGUUGAGGUCCUAUCAAUUGGUAUCAUGAGCCAGUGAAUCCUCGGAGGCGAAUCGGAUCUGACUACGAACUGGGGUUGGGAUCUCUCAUAAAAUCCCCCAAAUUCAGUCUCGGAUCCCGACGACGGUGCAGACCAGCGGAUCAGAGGCGGCCUGGAGUAGGCAUCGAUCGGCUGCAGAUUGGGGAGAAACUCGGUUGCGGCCAGAACAAUUCCACUGUGGUAAAAUUCCGUAGCGUAUCCCCGGUUGGUGCAGCAUCAGAGGCGAGCGAAGUGGAGUUUUGGCGGCGGCAGGCAAAGGUCACCGGCGAGGGUUUCGGACUCGUUCCGCAGUGAAAUUCCGGAGCCGUGCAGAUCACCAUGCCAACCCGAACCAAGCACAUGGACGAGAUCUCAGAAGAGCUCGAAGCCUUGCAGACUGAGUUGACCGUGCUGGGCUUGAAGGAAGAUAAGAUGCAAGAUCAAAUCGAUCAGGUGAACACGCGCCUUCAGAUAGUUGAAUCCUUGGAAAAGCAAUUGGGAAAGGUUGAGCUCUUGGUCGAGAAUAAUUCCAAGGUACAGCAAGACAUCUUCGCCAUACUACGUGAAAUGCGAGCAGAGAAACCUCCCUCCCCUGUUCCCCAAGCGUCUGCUUCUUUGGUUGUUCAACCCAGCAUACAACCACAGACCCAACCGGAUCCAGGGGCCACAACAGCAAAUUCCACAGGAGAAACUCUUACCACGCCACAGGGACAGCAAACGCAACUGCUAAACAGUUUGACAGGCAGAAAUGUCAGUCAGCAAACUCCACCAGUAGUGAUUACUGCGAUGCAACACCAAACUGACAGAGCAAUGCAGUUUCUGAAGAGCAUUUCCAAAGGUCCUAAGAUAGAUUUCCCUACUUUCAGCGGGGAUAAUCCCUUGGGAUGGAUCAGACAAGUCAACAAAUAUUUUCAGCUGGCUCAAAUUCCUGAUGAGUGCAAAGUGGAUUUAGCAUUGACGUACAUUGUUGGGAGGGCUGAUAAUUGGGUCAGGAGUGCUAGAAUGGAAAAUAAUAGAUUACCAUGGCCAGAUUUUUGCCGAGCAUUAUGUGACAGGUUUGCAGAAUCUAGCAUUUAUGAAAUACUGGAAAAAUUCCAUAGCCUCAAACAGAACACUAUGUCAGUAGCUGCUUAUACUGAUAAGUUUGAGGAAGUAAUGGCAGUGGUUAGGGAUGAACAUCCAUACCUGCAAGAAAACUAUUAUAUAGUGAGCUUUGUCAAUGGACUUAAACCCAGCAUCCGAUGUAAUUUGAGACCACAAAGACCUACUACUCUAAGCCAGGCAUAUUGGCUUGCCAGAGACUAUGAAAGUGGACUGCAGGCAAAAUAUCUGUCUUACAUCAACCACCAAGAAAAACAGUCUCAAACUCACUCUGGACAGUCCAAAACUACUAUCCUGCCAGCUCCUAACUUACAAAUCCCUCCUCCAGCAGCAGCUAUAAGGAAACCAGGGGUUUGUUGGAGAUGCAAUGGACCUUGGGUUCCUGGUCAUAAGUGCAAACAAUCUCCUGCACUACAUGCCAUUGUUAGUGAGAAUGAACCUAAAGAUAUGUCACCUGAAGAAGAAGCACAAUUAGCAGUACUAACUGCAGAAUGGCAAUUUACAGAGCUAAUAGAUAAAUGUAUGCACAUCUCUGCACAAGCUGUAUCAGGGGACUCCUCUGAAUCCACUAUAGCAGUGAGCAUUUUUCUGGGAGGAAAAAAAGGAGUAGCCCUAAUAGAUACUGGGAGCACUAAUACAUUCAUUGAUCUCAAAUUUUCCCUGAAGGCUAAUUGCCAAUUGGUCAAUACCCCAACUCAAAAAGUGACAGUGGCUGGUGGUGGUUCUUUAAAUUCAGGAGCUGUUGCACCGAACACUAAUUUCAAAAUAUACAAUGAGGACUUCUCCAAUGAUCUAACAGUGUUAGAUUUCCAAGGCUAUGAUAUUGUUUUAGGGUGUGAUUUUCUGAAAAAGCACAGCCCUCUAUCAAUGGACUUUGAUGCAAGAACUGCCACUAUCAACAAGGACAAGACACAGUCUGUAACAUUUGCAGAUUGUACAGUGGCACAACCACCUAAGCUCAUUUCUGCAGAAAAAGCAGAGAAGUUAUGUUCACAGGGAGCAGUGGGUUUUGCAAUGAGUCUCCAAUUUAUGACCCAAGUCAGUAACUAUAGUUGCAUAUCUACCCAGCCUGAGCCAAAGAUUACAGAGGAACCCUUGCCAGUUUUGGAACAAUAUAAGGAAUUGUUCACAGAACCAACUAAUCUGCCACCCACCAGAGAAUGUGACCACACCAUUCCUCUUAAAGAAGAUACCACACCCCCCAAUGUGAGACCAUACAGAGUCCCUCAUUUACAGAAAAAUGAGAUGGAACAGCAAAUUCAACUGUUGCUUUCCAGGCACAUAAUUCAGCACAGCAUGAGCCCAUAUGCUUCUCCUGCUAUCCUUGUCAGAAAAAAAGGAGGAACUUGGAUACUUUGCAUAGACUACAGGAAAUUGAAUGCACAAACAGUUAAAAACAAGUUUCCUAUACCUGUCAUAGAGGACCUCCUAGAUGAGUUACAUGGAGCAGCUAUCUUCAGCAAAUUGGACUUGAGAUCUGGUUAUCAUCAAAUUAGAAUGAAAACUGAAGAUGUUCACAAAACUGCAUUUAGAACUUAUUCUGGACAUUUUGAGUUCUUGGUUAUGCCCUUUGGCCUCACCAAUGCACCUGCUACCUUCCAGGCCUUGAUGAACAAAAUCUUUGCACCCUAUUUGAGGAAAUUUGUGUUGGUAUUCUUUGAUGAUAUACUAAUUUUCAGUAAGACUCCAGAAGAACAUAAGGAACAUCUGGCCUUAGUAAUGGAAUUGCUCAAAAAACACCAGCUCUUUUUAAAUCAAGCAAAAUGCACCUUUGGUACUCCUACUGUGGAAUAUCUUGGACAUGUUCUUUCUGCUCAGGGGGUUGCUACAGACCCUGACAAAAUCUCAGCUAUAAAACAAUGGCCAAUACCAUCUACAACAACUGAAUUAAGAAGUUUCCUGGAUCUGGCAGGUUACUACAGAAGAUUUAUAAAGGACUGUGGCCUCAUUUGUAGACCACUCCAUGAUCUUCUAAAAAAGGAUGCAUUUCUAUGGCCCCCCUACAAACAGAAGCUUUUGAGAAAUUGAAGUUCAGUCUAUCACAUGCACCAGUGUUAGCAUUGCCUGAUUUCUCCAUUCCUUUUGAACUAGAGUGUGAUGCAUCUGGAGCUGGGAUUGGAGUUGUUCUCAUGCUAAAGCACAAACCAAUUGCUUACUACAGUAAGUCUCUAGGGCCCAAAGCAACUGCUCUAUCCACCUAUGAAAAAGAAGCCAUAGCAAUCUUGGAAUCCUUGAGGAAAUGGAGGCAUUAUUUCCUAGGUUCUUCCUUACUAAUUAAAACAGAUCACCAGAGCCUUAAGUUCAUCACAGAACAGCGAAUUUCUGAAGGAAUACAACAUAAGCUCAUGUUGAAGUUGGUUGAGUUUACUUAUACAAUUGAAUACAAGAAAGGUAAGGAGAACAAGGCUGAUGAUGCUCUGUCCAGGAAACCCCAAAUGAUGGCAAUCUCCAGUGUAGUGCCUAGCUGGACUGAAAAGCUAGAGCACUCCUACGGUUCUGAUGAGAGAUGCAAAACACUGAUAGCUCAACUUACCAGUGGGGCCAAUGAUCUUCCCCUGUACACCUAUACUGCUGGCAUUCUCAGGUAUAAGGACAGAAUUUAUGUUGGAACAAAUGAAGAAUUCAGACAUAAUCUGCUCCUUACUUUUCACUCAUCCCCAAUUGGAGGACAUUCUGGAAUUAGAGCCACCUACCAUAGAAUUAAAAGAAUUUUCUAUUGGCCUAAUCUUAAGUCUGCAGUGGAGCAAUUUAUUCAACAGUGCCCUGUCUGUCAGAGAGCAAAAGGAGAACAUUGCCACUACCCUGCAUUGCUUGACCCCCUUCCCAUCCCUGAUAUGGCUUGGAGGCACAUUUCCAUGGACUUUGUGGAGGGACUCCCAAGAUCACAAGGCAAGGAUGUGAUUUUGGUGGUAGUUGACAGAUUUACUAAAUAUUCUCAUUUUAUUUCCCUAGCACAUCCCUUCUCUGUCACCACUGUCUUACAGGCAUUCAUUGACAAUGUAUUCAAGUUACAUGGUAUGCCAGUGUCCAUGGUGACUGACAGGGACAUGAUAUUCACUAGUAACUUUUGGCAAGCAGUGUUCAAACCUCUGGGAGUUAAACUUAACAUGAGCACAACCCACCAUCCUCAGUCUGAUGGACAAACAGAGCGAGUCAAUCAAUGUAUGGAAGCAUAUCUUAGAAGCAUGGCUUUCACUGAACCAAAAAAGUGGUGCUCUUGGUUAUCUUUGGCAGAAUGGUGGUUUAACACCUCAUACCAUACUGCAACAAAGUUUACUCCUUUUCAAUGCCUUUAUGGUUUCCCCCCACCACAAAUUGGAGAGAUUUCUAUACCAGGACCUGAAGAUACUGAAGCACACUCAUUCUUGGAACAAAGAGAACUUGUACAGCAACAGUUAAAGCAUAACUUACUGGUAGCUCAGGAAAGAAUGAAGAAAUAUGCAGAUAGAAACAGAACAGGUAGACAAUUUCAAGAGGGAGACAUGGUGUACUUAAAAAUGCAACUGUACAGAUUGGCUGCAUUCAACAUCAGAUCAGGGCUCAAAUUAGCCACUAAAUUCUAUGGUCCUUACAGAAUAUUACAGAAAAUUGGAAAUUCCUCAUACAAACUACAGCUACCAGCUAGAGUGCAGAUACACAAUGUGUUUCAUUUCAGUCAACUCAAACGACACUUAGGGCCUAAUGCAGUUCCAGAUCCAGACUUGCCCUUGGUGGAUGCAACUGGUAAGGUUAAAAUAGCCCCCAUCUCGGUGCUGGAAACAAGAGCUGUACCCAGACAACCUCAUUUGGUCACACAAUGGCUAGUCCAGUGGCUGAACAUGUCGCCUGACGAAGCUACAUGGGAAGACGCCGAUUUUAUCAAAGUCACCUUCCCGAAGUUCUUCAACAGCACCAUUCAUUCGUGGUUUCCAAAUUCCGAUCCUCGAGGACAAGGAUCGUCUCCAGGAGAGGGCAGUUGUCAGGACCCUGACAAGUUGUUCCUGUUAACUGAAGAACGAGACACUAGCUCUGAAGAAAUGGAAUUCAGUCUCUGGGAAUCGGACGGCUCGGAUCAAUUGGGCUAAAUGACCGUUGCCGCCACCAGCUGGACAGUAAUAGUGACGGCAACGACUCCUUCCGUCCCACGCCUUCGUCACCUGCCUCCAGCGAUAAAAGGCCCAGCCAGCGUUCUGGAAAAGCAUCUUUCCCCUUUCUCCAAGUGUAAUAGCUAGCUACCUUAAGAACCCUAGAGUACUUGGUAGAAAUUGGGCAGAUCCUCGAUCUGAACCCCUGUAUCUGUAACUCUAAAUUUCGAGAUAAUAUCAAGCGGGGCUAGUUCGAGUAAUUGUUGAGUUGUUGCUGUGUUGAGGUCCUGUCAUGGACGAACCUUCAAAGGGAGUUCUUGUAGGAGGGGCGACAGUUGGUAAAAGAUCGAGAGAAGAUAAUUGUCGACCAUGGAAACACCAUGUUCAGGUUCGGACAUUGCCUCCACAGCAGCAGAUCCGGGUUCAUGGCAUCGGCAAUGGCUCCAGAUCUGUGGCGGCCACUACACCACGACACUGCAAAGACGACAUGCGUCUGUUGGUAGAAGUGAGCAUCGCCGACAUUUUUUGUGUGACAAACUAUGCCGACACACAAUUCGUUGUUGUUAUAUAGCAUCAUGACACAUUAUUUGUCGCCAAAUCAUCACCGGAUCACCGACACAAUUGCUGUCGGCAUAUACUAACUUUACUGAUAGUUUGUCUGUCGCUGAUUCAUGGGGACAAAAAAAGUGUCGGUGUUGUUUCCUUCGGCCCGCACCCAAAAAGAAUGGCGCGGAAAGAGAGCCAGCGAGCCAUGUGAAACACCCGAGCCGGACUAAGGAGGAAAAAAAGGGAAAGAAAAAAAAUGACAUACCCAAAUACCCCACCCUUUUCUCUCGCUACCCUGAAAUAGAGUGCGCCGCUCGCCCCGACCUAAACCUAAUCCAGUGCGCCUCCUCCCCAACCUGCACGCCGCCGCCCGUCCCUUGACCCCCGCCCCCUCGCGCCACACGCCUCCCAUCAUCCGCUCAGGAGCAGCAGCGCCUUCCGCCGCGUAGAGGAGCAGCCGCGCCGUCCGCCGCGUAGAGGAGCAGCCGCGCCAUCCGCCGUGCCGAGUAGUAGCACCUACCACUGGGAAGGAGAAGCAACAAGGUCAACAAGGCCCACCGUCCGUCGAUGAUGAGAAGCAGCGCCGUCGCUUCUGAGGAGCCGCCGGCCGUUCUUCUUCCUCCACCGACGACACGUGUACCUCCAGAUCUCAACAAGUAAGCCGCAAAUCUUCCCGCUGCCUGCCCUUGUUCUCUCUCCAUUAUUGGCAACGAGGUCAAAUUACGGUUUUGAAAUUAGAUAAUACAGGAGAUUAAUCGAAGGGGAAAAGGAACAUAUGACCACCAGCUAGCAUAAGGAUUUCAUUUUCGGUGGUUUGAGGCAAGAUCCGCUCUUCCCUGCCAUGGAUUUUGAUGGAUAGCAGGUUCUGUUUGAAAGGAGAAGAGAUAAUGCAGGGAAGAAGAAGUCACUCAGUUUACUAGCCACUACUGACAUUGAUAUUAUGACCUUCCCAGGUUUAAGGGGCAUGGCAUGUUGGCACCAUUCGCUGUUGUAUGGCAGAGCAAUGAUGUGCAUCCAUUGGUUAUUGAGAGAUUUGAGGUUGCAACUCUCGAAUUAUAGCAUUAUAUAUGUUUACUUCUCAUGCAAUGCAGCGUUUGAUAUUGGAAAUGGCAGCUAAGACGUUCAUUACAGUAUGCUACGGUUGUAAACAAUGUAUCUAUGUUUUGCUUAUACAAUGUUAACCUAUAUAUGCAGGGUUCUUAUGUUUAUGACAUCAAUGGGAAUAAAUAUCCAGAUUCUCUAGUAGGACUGUGGUAUACAACUUUAGGUAUGUAAAGUACAAUCUUUGGAGUGUGAUUUUUGUGAUUAUGUACCAAAGAAUUGUUCAUUCUUUGGGAUAAUACCGCGCAUCACCAUUUUGUUUUUGCAUUUAAAAUUAAUGUAUAAAGUCUAAUUUGUAUUCUUUGAGCUUUUAGUUUCUUUUCAUCUAUAUCAUUUUCUACAUCCGAGGUGGUACUAUUUUACCUGCGUAUCUUUACCUAAUAAUUAAGGACAGAAUAAUUUGGGCUGAGCCUUCCUUUCCUAAUAAAAAACAGAAACAUGAUGUGUGGCUGCACUAGGCCUGGUCUCCUUUCCUAUUUUUUCAUCGAUCUCCUUCUUCCAUGAUGAUUCUUUUCGGUAAACCCUAAACCCUGCCGAUCAACCCGGUCUCCCACCUGAAAUCGAGUGCUUCACGACUCGGUCUCUCGCCCGUAGUCGAACUCCCUUUCCGUCGAGACGUUUCGUCUAGCUCCUCCCAUAAAUAGGUUGCCCGAGAGAACAUAACAGACGGAGCUGCCGGAUGAGCAAUGUAAACCAAGAAUGAUCUCACAGGCAAUUCAUCCGGGUGUGUGCCCUUGCCGAGGCCACAGCCGAGGCCAAGCCAACAGGCCCACAUCGUCGGGAGGUUUCUCGCAUUUGGAUUGGCUGCACCGGCAAGGUCAUCUAUAGUACGAUAGUUGACAACAAUGAGGAGAUCUUCAGGAUCUCCGAUACGGCGUUCACGUGGCCGUUAGCGGCGGAAGAUCCCUUGCUCAGCUAGAAAGGCACGCCAUCGUCAUGGUCGUUGAUAGCGUAUAGCGCAUGGGCUCAUCGACGUGAUGGCGGUGCCCGUUCCAGGGUGCUCUUGACGUCUUAGGAUGCCGAGCACGGCGGAGUGGACAGCCGGCCAUGGGUGCUGGCGGAAGGAGGAAUUGUCACCAUGUGUCAAUGGCUGCGGGGGAGGGUUCCUCAUAUACGGUCGCCCCCGCUCCGUCUCCAGAUAGCCGCAGCAGGAAUAGCACACUCCCUUGGACGAGGACGACAAGAAGCGGCAGAAGCGGCUGGCUGGAUGGAAGCCGUGCAGGCGGGCGGGCGGACGGCUCGGCUGAGGUGGCCGCAGCGGCCAGGGAUUAGGGAGGCGGCAACUCACUGCCUUAAAGUAAGAAGGAGGCCGACUUGGUACACGCACGUGUCCUCCGAGAAAAGAUAAGCAUCCAGAUCUCGUGCAGUUUAUUCCAUUGCUAAUGCUUGUCGGUCUAAUUUGUGGUUUUCCUGCUUAAUGGCGCUCAACUUGGUUGACGUUCCGGCCUUAGCUUCCCAUCCAUGCGGUCCAGUGGUGCCCGUUCCUCUGCUGUUUUGUUGCGAGGGCGUAGCUAGCUUCGAACGACGAGGCGUACAAGUGGGCCCUACAGGAUGACGACGAGCGCGAGGUCGCCGGGCGGCUCCUGACCCUCACUGAGAUCAUUGGUUGUGAGUGCAAGAGACAGAUCUUUCAAAUUUCAAUCACGUUUUAUCCCACUUCCUAUUCGGGAUUUGCUUAGUGUUACGUUUUUCAGUAGGGGAAGAGAUGAGCAUGAUGUUGAAGAUGACGAAGGCGAGGAAGAUGGGGAUAGCGUGCAGUUGACAGUUCCAUCACAAUCAUUGUUUGUUGAUUUAUGUGUAUGCUUGGGCAAUUAUGCAGCUUUUACAUGAAGAUUAUAACCCUUUUAUUUUAUUCAGGUAUUGUCUUUUAUUCUAGAAUGCUUACACAGAAAAGAUUGCAGAGCUGUGAUUAAUUUGACUAAUCAGGAACAACGGCUCGAUAGUCUGGAUGGUGCCUUUUGAUUGUAUCCAGCAGUGACCACUUUUGCUUGUGGACUUUGGAAUGAAUCUGAUCUUUAACAACAGUGAGCAACUUGCAGUGUGGGGUUUCGGCAUUCUCUUGGCCACCUGAAUGGCUUGCAGAAGCUGUGCGGGCGAAGCUGACAGUUUGAGAUGGUCAUGUAUGAAAAUGAAUUUCAGAGAUUCAACUUUGUGCCGGCAACUGUCAGCUUUCUCCUGCCAGUUGGUGUGGCAGGCGGAUCAGAUUAGAAGACUAGACGUGUGCAGCAGCUGGUCCUGUGAUGUAAAAUAAUAAUUCAAAUCGCCUAUGAGAUGUAUCCUAACAAUCCUGAAGAUCUCGGUGCCAACUCUAUAAUUCAAAUAAUAAUUCAGGGCCCCGUUUGAUAACAAAGUAUUUUUAAAGUAUUCUGAAAAUACUACAUUUUUUUAUGUUACUGUAGUUUUAUUUACAUAAGGUUGUUUGGAUGCCUCUAAAAACCAUGAUUUUAAUACUGCAGUUUUUGCCAAACCACAGUAUUUUCUUUGUAUAAAAAAAAACCUCAUACCUCUUUUAAAAAAACUGAGCACCCGAAAAGAAGGGUCGGACGGAGCUUAGGUAGUAGGCAAGGUGCAAGUACGAACUGUCUGAGUUGAGGUCUUUUAGUUGUUCGUUACCUGCGGCUGCAGUACUUGAACACUCUGCUUCUUUCAUCGGCGUUGGCAAAAAGCUGACAUGGGAAUUUUUUCACUCUUCCCUGUUGUCUAUAUGGUGACUCAGAGGAUGUUUUCAUCACAUUUUACUAGGUGGUGACAUUUUGUUUGAUUUACAUAAACAACUGUAUGUGGCUCUUAUGUUACAGAGAAGAAUGUUUGAGCCAAAAUCUAUAUGUUCGAUUCAUGUGCCUUCUCCUUGCAAAUGUCUGGUAUGAAGAUUUUCCAAGUACCUAUUGCUCAGAGGUCAUCUGUUAAUUACUCCACCGGCGUCGUUGUCGCUAAUCAUCAUUAGUCUAGUUGAUCUAUAUAUUCUAGUACUACAAUGGCUAGCUAGCUUCAAAUGCAUGCACGGCUAAAAGCUAGCCAGGAAAUUUUACAGCGUUUUGUGACGUAGCCAAACAGGUCCUCUGUAUCGUGAAUACUUCAAAAAACGUUGUUAUAGUAAAACUAUGGUAUGUUGUACCUACAUCCUAAAUUACUGUAGUUUUUGAUACUUUGGUUUUUGUAAUACUUUGCUAUCAAACAGGGCCUAAGUUCCUAAUGGAAGUAUCUUUUUGUGUGUGUGAUCAUGCUUCCUUUACUUCUAUAGCUAAUUUUUUAACUGAAGAUAUUUUUGUUAGUUGGACGGGAGAUGAUGCUAUAUUGCCAGUAGAUAGACUAGGGUGCAAACUGUCUCAAUAUGUGCAAAUAACAAUGCAAACCAACCUCGUAUUCUUUGAAGAACAAACUGAUAUUAUGGUUACAGUUUUUAACAAAAGCAAGGAAUCUUAGUAAGCAUUAUAUAUUGAUGCUACAUGGUUUGCUGCACCUUAGGACUGUCAACUGGGCAUGGCCUUACAAAUUGCGUGCAUUAUCUGGCCAACCAUUCUUCCUUUUGCUACCUCAACUGACAAUAAACAUUGUAGUAAUGUGUUGUUUAUGUCAAUUCCAGAUUCUCGAAUACGUUUCUGACCUCGCGCAAUUGAUCGUCCGUCUGGUCUCGUCGUCCAACGACCAAGAGUUCUGAGACAAUGUCUGGUGCCCCUCGGGAAACAUAGGUGAGAUAAUCUUGCACUCGGUUCUUAAUUAUAUUUUUCCUAUAGUCUUCUGUGUGUAAUAUUGGCACUACAUUAAUGUAAUUUCUAUUGUAUUCAUUGUUAUAUAGAACGACUUUAGCAUCACAGGAUGUGCAAUAAUAAGAGCAAAAUUUAUCAUCCACUUUACAGAGAAAAUUCAGUAUCAAAUGUACUUAAACACACUAUGUUCACAUUUAGACCCAUUCGUCAAUGUAUUUCUUGUUUUACUUCUGGUGGUGCUUGAUUACACCCCUCUUCUUUUGUCACUUUUUAUUCACCCCCUUAUUGUACUCUUCUCAUCACUGUAUUUGUCCAUCAGUCAACCCUUCUCUCCCCUUAUGCUUCCCUCUUUUUUCUGAUAUUCUUCAAAUCUCUAUGCCUUAGAACAAAUCUGAUUGCUUAACAAUGGGAGCAUAAUUUUAUUAGUAAGCCAUGUGAUAUGAUAGGACCUAUCUUGGCUUUGGUUGAUCUUCUGAUAGGGAUAUCUUAUGUAACCAAACUAUUUGCAAUGUGUUCUAUAUUUUUAGAAAAUGUUUUAGAUCUUUGGAAUCAUUGGCAACUCGCAAGUUUGAACAAAUUCUCAUUUCUAUGAUUGCUCAAACAUACAAGUUCUUUUGCAGGGACAUGGCAGAAAGUAGCAAGUUCACAAGUUGAUCUAAGAUGUUCUGGUGAUCGCUUUUGUUCAUAAAAUGGUAGACACAUUUUGUUCAUAUGGAAAUUGAUGCCGCUUGGUGAUUGAAGGAUCGGUCUCUUUCAUGAUAUUUGUAGUAGUCAAGUGAUCAAACAGUUGGUCUCUUAGGGAUUAGCCCUUAUAUUUUGCAGCAGGACACAUCUUGUAUGUCGACUUAUGUAUUUUCUUCAUGGUUGUAACAAACUUGAGUGCAGAUAACUAAUGCUCAAUAUAUGUUGAAUAAAUGUAUUAGUGAUUGGUAUCUUGUGAUGAAUAGAAGAGUGCAAUUAUUUGUAUAUGUAUUGUGCACUGAACAUGAAUUGGAUACUAUGAACGUAACUUUAUUAAAAAUAUGGUGCAAAUGCAUUUUCUGCUGAAACGUAGAACCCUGGCAGCAAAAGUGUCGGCAUAAGUAUUGGGCGUCGCACUAUGUGUCGGCAUAGCUCAUUGGCAGACAAACUGUCGACGUAAGAAUGGACGUUGCACUAUGUGUCGGCAUAGCAUGGUGGCAGAUGAUCUGUCGGCAUAUCUUAGUCUGUCGGUAUAGAAAUGUCUGUCGCCAUAGAUCCCACCAACCCCAUCAAAUUGUCUGUCGGCGUAGAUUUAUCUGUUGGCAAAGACCUUUCCCGACAAGACUAUAGGCGACAACUCGUUUCUGUCGUCAAAAGUCUUUGCCGACAGUAAAUGUGUCGCCUUAGGUGACCUAUGCAGACAGAUUGUUUGACGCUGAUUUGAGUCUCGUGGUGUAGUGGGCCAUGACACGACCUGGAGGAUUGCUCCAGUUGAGGACGCGACCACAACGGUUGGCCUCAAUGGCGGCUCCCUCCCUCCACGCAGCGACGACGUGAGGUGGCAGGCUCCCCUUCGAGUCGUGAGUAACCAUCCGCCCACGGCAGCGGCAGCGUCAGGCACGAGCAGGCGAUGAUGCCUCUCUUCUUCUCGGCGGGUCGGCUUGGGCAACAAUGGAGCGGGAAUCAGAGGCAUGACCAUUUUUUUCUCUUCCUAAUAAUGAGGAAGUGGGUAUCGUGCGACGUGGGCUAUGAGUUUUCCGCUGGGGGAAUUUGUUUUAGCUGCCGGUUGUUUUUAGUACGUGGAGGGCCUUAGUUGUUCCCGUUUGCUUGCGUGGUGAUUUUUUUUGACAAAAAUUCGGAUCUAUUCAUCAAUUUUAGCAGUAUAAAGAACACUAGAGGUAAUAAUAAAUACAGCCAGGUCCAUGGAGCACCUAACGACGACUACAAGCACUAGAGUGAGCCGAAGACGCGCCAUCGUCAUCGCCCCUUCCUUGCCGAAGCCGGGCAAUCUUGUUAUAAUAGACAGUCGGGAAAUCGUCUUACUAAGGUCAACCAGGGCACCAGAGCAAGAACCAUCACCGAUGAAGAGAGUUGUAGAUUGGAAAGAUCAAACAUGUAACCACACGAACGAAGAAAAACAAAACUUGAUCCAAAUAGAUCCAUCAAAGACCAGCACCGACUGAAUCCCACGAGAUUCGACGGAGAUACACCUCCAUACGUCCUCCGAGACGCUAUUCGCACCAUCAGGACAAGAUAGGACGUGAGGCACAUCAUUAAUUAUUGGAUUAAGAAUAUAUUUGCGAAACCGCGUGGAGCUUCGCCAUGAAGACGUAUGCAACCACCGGUUCUCUGGUGGAGAUCCUCCAUCCCUUCACCAGAGCCCUAACCGAUCCGUCGACCAUCCACAUGAAGAGUUGACGAUGGAUCUGGGCGUGGAUCUAGAUCCGCGGCCGCCGCCAUGCCCUCCAUCGCUGGAGACCUUGGAACCUGCGGGUUGUGGCAGGUAGCGCGGCCGCCGUAUGACCAGGAGCGCCGCCCUGGCCGCUUUGCACAACUCCCUCCUGGCCAUGCCCCAGCCGCACUGGGAGAUCGCUGCGCAUCUAGAUCCCGGUUCUUUCGGCAUCGGGGUCGCCGCCACUGCGGCCUACGCCGGUGGUAGCGGUGGAUGGGGAAGCAGCAACGCGAGGGUCUCUGGUGGCGUGAGCAUUCACCCCUGGGAGACGGUGCGAGGAUCAGGGUGUGUGUUAUAGAAUGCUCAUUGCCUUGGAUGAUUGACGUUUUGUGUUGCAGGUUCCUUCAUCGUCAACUUACUUUGGAUAAGUCUAUCUUUAUUGAAUUAGACAAAGAUGCAUGCAGUACAUAUAUAUUUUCAUCUUUAAUGUAUGUGACUAUAACGCUAAAACAUUUUAACUAUUAUGUGCAUUCAUAUUCAGCAAUGAAUUAAGAAAAUUUGUAGUUAGCCUCUUCACAGCUAUACUCUAGUCAAUAUUGUCUUUCAUCAUCAACUAGGUCAAGAUCUCACAUAACGCUUGCUCAAAUCGUACAUGGUAUAAAUAUCAUAUACUCCCUCAAAGUGCACAAAAAACACUUGCAUGGUCGUCCUGGACAAGGUCAUAUAUCGCCCUUUACUGCUAGUAAAGUUGAUGUAGAAAGACAUUCUUGACGCAUUAACCCAUGGUUUAACUCACUUGUCGUCAUUUACAACAAAUAGCAAUGUAGGACCUAAUGUACGACCUUAUCAGAUAUGUACCCCAUGCAUGGUAGUAGUACCAGCCGCCACUACCGACCACAUGGGACCAUCGUCCCGGUUCCCGCACACACGAUGAACCUCCUAGCGCUGCUCCCAAAUGCCUCAGUGCCUCCAUUUGGAAUAUUCUUAUACGGAGUGAUAUGGAAUAUAACAUCCGCCAUUCUACAUUUAUCGAUGUUGUCCAUUGAAACAUAUCAUCGAGAGGGAAAGUUAACCGUCGGUUAUUACUAUACACUGUCAGGUGUUUUCAUAAAUAAUCGAGAGGCACACAUGUAUCGUCGGCCAUUUUCACACAUAGGUGAGAGUUUUCUUUUCACCUUUGGCUAUUAAGUUUCACCGUCGGGCAUUACAUCUAAUCCCCGUGGGUGUGGCAAAAACCAUCGGGCAUUACAUGUAAUCCCCGAGGGGGCACCAAAAUCCGUGGGGGUAUUACAAUUAACCGUUGGGCAUUACAUGUAAUCCCCGUGGGUGUAGGGAAACUCGUCGGGCAUUACAUGUAAUCCCCGUUGGUGUAGGAAAAACCGUCGGGCUUUACAAUGAACCGUCAGGCAUUAAGUUGGACACCCGAGGGGUGGAUUUUCACCGUCGGGCAUUGUAGUAUACCGUCGGGUAACUGGUAACACUUGUGAGUUGACAUUAACCAUCGGCCAUUGCAACUACCGUCGGCUAUUGCUGUAAUAACCGACGGCCCGUCGGCUAUUAGGUUUCACCGUCGGAGAUAUGGGGAUUUCUAGUAGUGAUUCGGUCAUGGUCAUCGAGGGUGAUUCGGACUUAACCACUUCUGAUACGACUCUGUCAUGCAACCCCUCAAGUGUGAACCUUAGGGGUGAUUCCUCUUACGUUCACCUUGAUGAUUACAUCGAGUGGAAUUCACCGGGGGUGAUUCCUCGGGUUUUCCCCUUGAUGUUUAGACACACAGUUACUAUGAUUACUAUGACUUUACACUGAACCAUGUAACUAAAGACGGGUCGACCCUGAGGGGUACCCGCGCGAGCAUAAUUGCGAGUGAUGUGGAGUCGGGUUGACCUGGAGGGUGCCCGCGAGAUAAUUACGAGGCGUGGCUGGGCAUUCUUAGCCCUUGCCGCAAGUCCUCGAGACGGGGCGACGGGGUCACAUCUUUCGUGAGUCUCUGCUUGUUACCGCGCGUUCCUAAUCAACUACGAUUUGGAUAUUUGAUCCGAGGGGCCUCUGGCCUGAUAGCACUAACCAUCACGUGGGCAUAGUAUGGGCGUUCUGCAUCGUAUACAUCAGCCGAAGCUUAAUAGACGUCAGUGACUGAGUGGCACACGCCGGGUUGGACUGGUAAGCACCUGCUUUUUUAAAGGAGGUAGCUAGGUCUGCUCACCGGCCGCGUACGCAACGUGCAGGAGUUUCCGGAGCGAUGACCCAUGACCCUUGGGGGCAUAGGUUUAGUCCGGCGUGCUGACCUCUCUAUUAAGCCUAGGUCGGGUUGUGGCGUAUUGUUUGGCCGAGGUCGGGCAUGACCCAGGAAAGUGUAUCCGGCCGGAGUUAAUCGAGCAUGGUGGGUAUGUUGGUGCACCCCUGCAGGGAAGAAAACAUCUAUCGAUAGCCUGUCCUACGGUAACGGACACUUGGAGUUGUAUCCCGAUCGAUACAACUAGAAUUGGAUACUUGUGAUGAGAAUUGGAUUGUGAUGAGAAAUGGAUAGUAUGGCUCUGGGAUUGCUUUCUCGCAGGGAGUCGAGAAAGGAUCUCUGGCCGAGGUUGAAUAACACUACUACUACUUUACCUUAUGCUACUCUACUCCCUCAUGUUUGCUGCAAGAUGGUGGUUUUCAGAAGAUGCUAGCCUUUGAUAGGACUAGGCCUUCUCUCUAUUCUGGCAUUUCUACAGCCCAGUCCACAUAUACAACCUUUAUUUGAUAAUGUUGCAUAUGUAGUGUAGAUCCUUGCUUGCGAGUACUUUGGAUGAGUACUCACGGUUGCUUUGCUCCCCCUUUCCCCCCUUUCUUUUUCUUUCCGGUUGAUGCAACCAGAUGUCGGAGCCCAGGAGCCAGAUGCCACCACUGAUGCCUACUACUACGUGGAGACCGCCGGCGACCAGGAGUAGUUAGGAGGCUCCCAGGCAAGAGGCCUUGCCUUUUCGAUCGUUGUUGCUUUUGUGCUAGCCUUCUUAAGGCAAACUUGUCUAACUUAUGUCUGUACUCAGAUAUUGUUGCUUCCGCUGACUCUUUUGUAUUCGAGCUUAUGUAUUCGAGCCCUCGAGGCCCCUGGCUUGUAAUAUAAAGCUUGUAUUAUUUUAAUUCGUGUCUAGAAUUGUGUUGUGGUAUCUUCCCGUGAGUCAUUGAUCUUGAUCGUACACAUUUGCGUGUAUGAUUAGUGUACGAUUAAAUCGAGGGCGUCACAGGUUAGUUACCACAUUGGCAGUUGAAGAUAUUGCAACAGGAGUAGCAGAAGAACAUUCAGCAACAGAAGUAGCGUUAUCACGCUCAAUGCAUUUUAGACAUGGUGGUUCAAAUCCUUCUUGAGUGGGACUAAUCUGUUGAGCGCGAAGUGACUCGUUCUCUUUUUGAAGAUCUUCAUGAAUCGCUUUCAAUUUCUCAAGAUCUUGCUUCCUUUGAAGAUAAUCGUAGGAAAGCUUUUCAUGAGUUGUUGUGAGCGUUUCAUGACGACUUUUAAGUUCUUCGUACUUAACAUGAAGAUUUUUGAUGUCUUCAAUUAAGGACUGAGAUUGGGUCAUUUCCGCGUCCAAUAGGUCAUCGCUUUUGUCUAAUAGUUUUUGAAUAUGUUCCAUAGCUUUCUGUUGUUCAGUUGCAAUUUUAGCAAGUGUUUUGUAACUAGGUUUGAAUUCACCAUCAGAGUCAUCUUCACUUGAUGUUUGAAAGUAGGCAUCGCGUGAUUUUACCUUGGCACCAUGUGCCAUGAAGCAGUAGGUGGGAGCCGAGUCGUCCUUGUCAUUAUCAUCAGUGUUGGUGACGAAGCCAUUGUCUUCAGUGUUGAAGAUGGACUUGACGACGUAGGCUGUAGCUAGAGCCAGACUCGCAACACCAGAGUUAGACUCCUCCUCAGACUCCACCUCCGCCUCCUCAGAAGCAGACUCCUCCUCUGAAUCCAUCUCCUUGCAAACAAAAGCACGAGCCUUGCCAGAUGAGCUCUUCUUGUGUGAUGAAGACUUGGAAGAAGACUUUGAGGAUUUCUUCUUCUUCUUGUCAUCAGAAUCACAUUCUUUGCUCUUCUUCUUCUUAUUCUCAUUGUCCCACUGUGGACACUCAGAGAUGUAGUGACCAGGUUUCUUGCACUUGUGGCAGGUUCUCUUCUUGUGAUCAUCUGUGGAAACUUCAUCAUUUCUUGAGCUGGAUCGUGAAGACUUUCUGAAGCCUUUCUUCUUGGUGAAUUUCUGGAACUUCUUCACAAGCAUAGCAAGCUCCUUUCCAAUGUCUUCAAGAUCACCAGAACUGCAGUCAGAUUCUUCUUCAGAUGAGGAAACAACCUUUGCCUUCAAAGCGCGAGUUCGGCCAUAGUUGGGGCCAUAGAUAUCUCGUUUCUCAGAUAGCCGAAACUCAUGUGUGUCGAGCCUCUCAAGUAUGUCAGACGGAUCGAGAGUCUUGAAGUCAGGGCGUUCUUGAAUCAUCAGGGCUAAGGUGUCAAAUGAGCUGUCAAGUGAUCUCAGUAGUGUCUUGACUAUUUCAUGCUUCGUGAUCUCAGUGGCGCCGAGUGCUUGGAGCUCAUUUGUGAUAUCAGUGAGGCGAUCAAAUGUGAGCUAGACGUUCUCGUUGUUGUGUCUCUUGAAACGGUUGAAGAGGUUGCGGAGAACACUGAUCCUUUGAUCUCGCUGAGUUGAGUCGCCUUCAUUGACCUUGGAGAGCCAGUCCCAGAGUAGCUUCGAUGUUUCCAGAGCACUCACACGACCAUACUGUCCGUUAUUCAGAUGACCACAGAUGAUGUUCUUGGCAGUAGAGUCCAGUUGAACGAACUUCUUGACAUCAGCAGGGGUGACACCUUCACCAGUCUUGGGAAUGUCGUUCUUGACGGCAUACCACAGAUCGACAUCAAUGGCUUCAAGAUGCAUGCACAUCUUAUUCUUCCAGUAGGGAUACUCAGUGCCAUCGAAGAUGGGGCACGCAGCGGAGACUUUGAUUAUCCCUGCAGUCGACAUAGCUAAAACUCCAGGUGGUUAAACCGAAUCACACAGAACAAGGGAGUACCUUGCUCUGAUACCAAUUGAAAGAGCUAGUUAUCGACUAGAGGGGGGGUGAAUAGGCGAUUUUUAUGAAAGUCUUCAAAACAUGGGAGUUUCGAAGAUAAACAAUAGAAAUGACACUAUUCAUAUGCAGCGGAAGGUAGACUACACUAGACAGGCCAUAGUCAAGUAUUCAAUGAAGUGAAAGCACAUAGAUUAUCAGUAGCUAGGUAGUAAGGAUCAAGAUGGAAGAUAGUAUGAAGCCAAUCAGGACAAGUAGUCACACAGUGAAGUCAAACAGAUAAUGCUAGCAGGCAAUGACUUCACGAAGACAAAUUGUAAGUAAAGAGAAGUGAGAGAUAGAACCAGUAGCUUCGGGAGGACAGAGAUUUGUUCGACCAGUUCCAGUUGCUGAGACAACUGUACAUCUGGUUAGGGAGGCUGAGAUACAACUCAGAAGAGUGCGUCUUCACCUUAUUCCCCUUGAGCUAAAGACACCUAGUCCCCGCCCAAUCACUCUGGUAAGUCUUCAAGCUAGACUUCCAAACCUUCACAGACUUCGUCCAUCGGCAAUCCACAAUGACUCUUGGAUGCUCAGAACGCGACGCCUAACCGGCUGGAGGAUUCACAGUCCUCAAGUGUAACAAGUCUUCAGAUCACGCGGACAGAAAGACUUCAGUGAUGACAUGUUUGGGCUCUGGGUGGUUUGGGCUUUGUCCUCGCAAGAAUUCUCUCUCAAAUGCUUCGGAGGUGGGUUGCUCUCAAAAGACAAAAGCCGUGCACUAACUCGGAGCAGCCACCAAUUUAUGGUGUAGGGGGUGGGCUAUUUAUAGCCACCGGGCAACCCGACCUGAUAUGUCUGAAAUGACCCUGGGUCACUAAGGAACUGACAUGUGUCCCAACGGUCAGAUUUCAAACACACGCGGCAUCUUGACUUGGGCUACAAGUAAAGCUGACUCAUCCGACUCUGGAUAAGAUUUGCUUUCAUUGUCUUUGCUCGAAGACAUAGGAUUAGGUUGAGCAUCACUUCAGUCACUCUGACUUUGUUCACUUGGACCCCACUUAAUAGUGCGGUGGUUCCUAUGACUCAACAAAGAAGAAAAGGAAACACUGAAACAACUAAGUCUUCGUGCUCCAUAGUAUUCAUGCAAUGUCUUCUCAUGUCAUAGUCUUCAACGUGAAUGGCUUCAUAGACCACCAUUGUCUUCAAUGUCUUCACACAUUUUUAGGGGUAAUCUCCGGUAGGUAAACCGAAUCAAUGAGGGACUACUACCUGUGUUAUCCUGCAAUUCUCACAAACACAUUAGUCCCUCAACCAGGUUUGUCAUCAAUACUCCAAAACCAACUAGGGGUGGCACUAGAUGCACUUACAGGUACAUACCUCCGGUCCCGAUGGCGGAUACCGACCGGUAGGGGUAGGUUGUGUCACGACCUCAUCGACUCUGAUUGACAGAAAACAUAGCACAUCAAUCCCCAUGUGCAGUUGAUCUCAUCAAUCAUGCACAUAGCCGAUCUGAUAAACGACGACAUAUCUCAUCUGCCGCCUCCGCAUAUCUAAUAUGCAUACGAUCUGAAUCCAAAUCCUAUAGCAGAGGCUCUAAUACCGCUGUUGGGUUCUACGGUAGGGUGCGUCGACUGCAAAUUAAAAUUUUCCUACGCGGAGAACAACCAGGAACAUGCUAGGGGAGAUAGAUCACAGAUUGUUACCACUAGACGCGCAGUGCCAUGCAGCGGAAGUAGAGUUGAGGGAGCGUGUUCCCGGAGCCGCCUUGCAUUCCCAGAGUCGUCUCCUCCUUGUCGGUCUCCCACGUAGCUGAUCGGAUCCCGCGAACAGGCUCUCCGUAGCAGCGCAAGUGCACCGCCUCUAACGGUAUCCGCGCGUGCAGGAGGAACGUCAUGCGGCGGACUGUUAGGUCCGAUCACACAACCGGCGGCGAGUGGAGGUGGCUAUUCGCAACACAUGCAAACCCUAGUGAUAGCGCCGAAGCGAUCAAUCGCAUGAGUGUGCCGCACCUCCACUUUAUAUAGGCAUCCGUCGUGGGGUCAACACUUGGGCCUCGCACGGACCCUAAAGCCCAUAAGUCUAUUCGGCCAGAAUCCGAAUACAGCUCGGAUCGCAUCCGACCAGUGUCCUCGGAUCCAACCUCGUAGGUUCCUUCCCUUAAGCACGCGACCCCUUAGGCUCAAGUCGGCUUGGUCGUAGUUCGGAUCACCUCCGAACUGCACGGUUGGUAGCGGCCUCUAGCAAGGCAUGCCGAACACCAAGCAGACUAUGAAGCUAGUUAGGCAAACCUGUACAACAUGUCACACUUCUGUUCCCUUUGCCUCAUGAUAUAUGUUGUCGCCUCAAGGCAAGACUGUCAUCCUGGUGCUAGCCCGACCUCUUUCUCGUUCCAGCGAUACCGACCACUUUCCAGAUUAUCUCAUAAUCCUUGUCGCAUGGCCAUGCUUCUCUUGGUCGGAUCACACGAGGGGCCCAGAGUAUAUCUCUCCUAGUCGGAGGGGCAAAUCCCAUCUUGCUCGACCAUGUCUUGCAGCAUGGGUCUGGAUAAGCCCGAAACCUACCUUUGUAACUACCCAGUCAUGGAGAUGGAGUAGCGUUUGAUCGGCCCAAAGCAAGUAUGUCACCAUCCUGAGUACAUGCGUCAGCUCAGGUCUUAGGACAUAGAACGUAUGUUGUACUAGAGACUCACAGAUGACGUAUCGCUGCGUCUCAUAGUUGGGUCUGUCCGACUCGGAUCCGACUACGUCGAAUCCGACCAGACCUUUCCAAGUCCAUAUUAUCCGAUUAGCAUCCAAUGCUCCAUGGCUAGCGAGACCGAGCCAUCGACCGUGUCAUAUGCUAGUCUAGUUGGCUGCGCGUCCACACAACCCUUUCAACUAGGGACCUUUUAGGACAGUCAUCAUACAAUGCAUAGUCCCACAAACAAGUCAUGUAUUUGCUGAUACACAUCAUUGAUAAUGUCCAAGGGCUAUCUUUAUUCAUAAACACAUAGGAAAUAUCAUCAUACAUGAUUGCCUCUAGGGCAUAUCUCCAACAAAGGUAUGGAAUCAACACUUGACAUUGAAGCAACUCAAAUACCACAACCAAAACAAAAACAAAGGACUUAGCUUGCAGAAUAAGCCAAAACAAACAUAUAAUAGAGAUUUUGUCCGAAGUUUUCAUGGUGGGGCCCACACGGGCUCGAUCAUACAACACCAUCAUGUACAAGGCAGUGCACAUGGCAUACGAUGCGUCCCUGAGUCAGCAUAGCCAAGGACUCUUUAAUACACAACGAAACCACUGUAAAACCAACCGUGGAUAGGCGGACCAGUAGACGUCGAACCCCAAUCUCAUAUCAUGCAUCUGUCGGAAAGAUAUCCUAGGUCACUACUUGAAUUCCCACCUAUGAACUCCCAAAACUUUCUGGUUAUGCAAUAUGGUGUUGGGGAUACAGGGAGGCAUAAAUAUCUCACACAGCUAACAAAUCCUACACUCCAACUGUAUCCAUUCCUCAACACAUAACCAAGGAAACCUCGGAAAUCGUGUACCUCAGACCUUCAAACACACAAUGAUACUAGUCAUGGAGGAUCAUCUGUGCUAUCUCCUCCAAUACUGGGGAUAAGUCACUGCACUAUUUUCCACCAUGAAAAGUAUGGGAGCGUUUCGAUUUCGGCAUCCUCUGGUAUUGCGAAACUGAAAUGAUAGCACUAUGAAGAAAACACCUUGGAGCUCAACUCUCCGAGACAUUGCCACAACCCCUAAAUGUCAAGAGGCACCAAGAAAGAAUUCCCAUCACAAUGAUAUCAAAACGAUUCCACAAUACCUGCGUGAUCCUAAAAUUUUUUUAGUGAAAAAGAAUAGAAGAGUGGGAAAGCACCUACGUCAUGAGUCCUCGCCAGAGCAACGAAGGGGAUGAGGAUUAAAAAGAAAUCCUACACUCCGAUAGAUAUAGCUAGACUCAAAAUAGUUUUUUUCUAGACUCAACAACGACAUCGGUUUGAUCAAUCAAGGGGGCUCCUAAGGUCGGUAAGGCUCUGAUACCAACUUGUAGCGCCCAAGAUGUGAUUCUAUCCCAAUCACGUGAUGAACUCAUUAUUGGGGCACAACUACAUUUCGAGCGCAUAGCAAGGUGGAUAUCAUUACAACAUACCAUGUACUGAAUAGAUGAGAAUACAAGAUAAAGGCUUACACUCGCCACAAGCUACAAUAUGAGUACAAUAGUUCAUCAAUACAUAGCAAUCAUCAUAGAGCAAGAUCCGACUACGGAUGAAAUCAAACGAAAAAGAAGAACGACAUCCACUCUGCUUGCCCAGGCUCCCGACCCGGAACCUAUAUCCCUUUAUUGAAGAAGAAGCAUAAGAAGAACUCCAAACAAGCAAGCAUCACACGCGUGUCAGAUCAUCGCAUUACAUGUACAUGCAACUGUUGUUGUAGUAAUCUGUGAGCCACGAGUACUCAACAAUCCCAUUACCAUGGGUAUCAAGACUAGCAAAGCUUAAUGGAUAUGGAAUAGAUAAGUGGUGAGGUUGCAGCAAGCGACGAAGCAUGGUAUGGUGGCUAACUUACGAGUACAAGAAUAAGAUGAGAACUACGCACCAGUCGCAAACUAGUAAUGAUCAAGAAGUGAUCCUGAACUACUUACAUUCAAACAUAACCCCACUGUGUUCUCUUCUCAACUCACUCGAAAAGAGACUGUCACGGUUACGCACGCGGUUGGUAUAUUUUAAUUCGAGUUUGGGGUCAAGUUCUCUACAACCGGAUAUUAACAAUUCCCAUCUGCCACAUAACCGCGGGCACGACUCUCGAAAGUUUAAACCCUGCAGGAGUUUACCAACUUAGCCCAUGACAAGUUCACAAUCCACAGAGACAAUCCUCCAUCGCGGACAUCCGAUCAGACUCAAGAUCCCAGUGUACAAGACAUUUCGACAAUGGUAAAACAAAUCCAGCAAGACCUCUCGGCAUACCGACACCCUGAUAGUAGCCACGCAUAUCUCGUCUCAGGCCACGUCUGGAUGGGACAAGCUACGAGUAAAACCAGUCCUCGAGUUUCCCCAUGGCGGCCCCGCAGGCUGCCUGUUUGGACCAACACCAUCAGCACUAGGCCCCCCUGUAUUAUGUUAAAUUACUCCUCGGGUAGCGCUAACUCCCUAUGCGUAAAAUUUAAUAUCAUGUUUAAUUAUUAUGUUGGGAAAAUGUUAAAACCAAUGUUGGGCCUUGCUAGAGGAGUUUUAUUCAAAGCGAACUAUCAAGAGGGACCUAUAAACCCUCAUCAUGUUAGGGACGCAAAAUCAAGAAAUAUAUCACCGUUAUGAUGGAAACUAGGGUGGUAAGAGUGGAACAAAACACCAGGCAUAAGACCGAGCCUUCCACCCUUUACCAAGUAUAUAUGUGCAUUAAUUAAAUAAGAGAUAUUGUGAUAUCCCAAGAUAUCCAUUAUAUCCAUGUCCCAACAUGGAACAACCUGCAAUUGCACCUGCAACUAGCAACACUAUAAGAGGAGCUGAGCAAAGCGGUAACAUAGCCAAACAACAGUUUGCUGGAAUGGUGGAAAAGGUUAGAGGUUGUUUCAUGGCAUAUUGGGAGGCUUGAUAAACAAGUGGUAAGAAGCACGACAUAGUGAUAGCAUCGAGACAACUAGCAUAGCAAAGAUAGUAGUGAGAUCCAAGGUGACGGUCAUCUUGCUUGAAAUCCUGCUAGGAAGAAGACCAAAUCCAUGAAGAAGACGAACGGGCGUAGACGAACCAAACGUAGUCGAACGAAUCCUCACGAUCGCAAUAAAACAGGAACUAUCAAGGAGAAGCGCAACCGGAAAGAAGCAAACAACAAGAUAAACAAAUCACAUAAACAUGGCAUGAUGCACAAACCAGUAUGAUGCAUGUCCGGUUUAAUGAGGCAUGGCAUGGCAAAGUGCAACAAACAAUAUUACAAAUUAAGUGAAGCUCAAUAUGCGACGAGUUGCACCACAUUUAUUUAUUUAGUUCUCUCCCGUUUAUGUACCCAACAAUAUUAAAUGUUGUUAAACAUGGCAAGAGGUGAAGCAUAUGUAAACUACCUAGUUAAGCAAGUUUAAAUGAGGCCGGAACAACAAACGACAAUUCCGGAAAAUCCUCAUAAGCAUAUUUCGAAUUUGCCCUUGUUCUGCCUAAACCAUAUUUUAGAGUUGUGAAACAUGCAAAGUAAGUACACAAUGUUAUUCUAAGCAUUUUUCUACCUUAUUUACACAUAAAGUUUAUUUUAUUCAGAGCUACGGUUAUUAAGUUAAGAAAUAAAUAAUUUUAACAUGUCAUUUAUGCAAAUUAAAGCAAACAACAAGUUUAAACAUUUUAAACAUGGAUGAAAGUUGCCAUUUAUGAAACUAGAUGAAAUGCUAAGCAUUUUACAUGUUUAAAUCAUUUUGAUCCAAUGCACGGUUUGUGAGAUAUUAAAUGCAUGAACACGAGGUUUUUUUCCUGUAAAAUAGACAUUCCUGUGGAUAAUAGGUGAAUUCGCAGACGCUGAGAAAAUGUAUAUUGGGCCAAAUCUGCAGGUUGGCCCAACAGGAGGGGGAAUGGGAUGAGGAUUCUCACCCUGGGCCAAAAUCUGGCCAACGGCUGGGCCUUGGGGGUCGGCUGACCUGGGCCACGCGACACGGAGCUGGCCUUGGCGCGGUCAACGCUCGGACGACCUGCUGCUGCUUGUUGCAGAAGAAUAGAGGCCGCAGCAGGACUCGGCACGCGGGCGACGCGGGAAGCAGAGGAAUGCCGCGACGACGAGGGUGGCACUGGCGGCGGACUUGGCGCGAGAGGAACCGGGCGGAGGCGACCCGAUCCGGCGGCGGGGAGCUCCUGCGGGGUAGCCAGGAUGGCGGCGGCGGCCAUGGGAGCUCCUGCUUCUGUACAAAGGGAAAAAGAGGGAGNNNNNNNNNNNNNNNNNNNNNNNNNNNNNNNNNNNNNNNNNNNNNNNNNNNNNNNNNNNNNNNNNNNNNNNNNNNNNNNNNNNNNNNNNNNNNNNNNNNNNNNNNNNNNNNNNNNNNNNNNNNNNNNNNNNNNNNNNNNNNNNNNNNNNNNNNNNNNNNNNNNNNNNNNNNNNNNNNNNNNNNNNNNNNNNNNNNNNNNNNNNNNNNNNNNNNNNNNNNNNNNNNNNNNNNNNNNNNNNNNNNNNNNNNNNNNNNNNNNNNNNNNNNNNNNNNNNNNNNNNNNNNNNNNNNNNNNNNNNNNNNNNNNNNNNNNNNNNNNNNCUACAAAGGCAAGAAGAGAGAGAUGAGAGGAGGGGGUCGAAGGAAGGAGGGAAAGGAAACCAGGGCGACGCUCAUCUGAGACGGCGACGGUGGAGGUGCUCGUGAUCCUCCUGGUCCAGAUCGAGCGAGGAAGGAGGGUACGCGAUGAUCUUGCUGGCCGCCAGCGAGGAGCGGCUCGGGAGGUGGCUGGAGGCGACGCUGGGUGCCGGGGCCUGGGGGUCGAGCAGAGAGCUCGAUGGCCUGGAUCAAUGGGUGGAUCGGGGAAGGUGGUUGGGGUGGAUCUGGAGGCUGGCUCGCGACUGGGGGCUCGCGAAAAACAAGGAGGAGACCAGGUGGCUGGCGGCGGGCACAGAAUGGAUGGGACAGAUCUCCUAGGUUCUAGGGUUAGGCUGUUUAUAUAGGUAGGGGUUAUCUGGACCCUCCGAUCGUAAUCGGACGGUCCGAGAAAAAUAGGCUAGGACAGUCUAACAAAGAACCGAAAAUAUUUUAGAGAUUUUUGAAGAUGAUCCGGACCCAUCAGUAACAACAGCCCGGUUAGGGUUUGAGUAAGUUUCGGACGCGCACGCGAGGGGGUCUGUGCACUGUGCAGAGAGACUCCUGUUUAGGAAGAGAGAAAACGAAAAACUAGGUUGCAAGAGUAGUUGGUCUCGGAACGGUCAGCGAAGGCAAGGGGGAACGCAGCAACUAUGAACGGAUGCGAGUCUUAUGAAAAUAUGCGGAUGAAAUGAUCAUGAUGACAUGAUGAAAUGCAACAAGCAAAAAAAAACCCGGCGACAACGAAAACAUGAAAGGCGUCUAGAGCGUUGUUCUCGGGGCGUCACAUAGGCACCGACCAUGUUAAGCCAACACAACCAAAAGCCCGAACUAAUAAAAAUGACUAGGCAAUCCACAUGCACUACAACAUUCAUAUCAUCCAAUCCAUAUUAACCUAAAUAGCUAGCAACUAAUAAUGUUAUAACAAUUACUAACUAUAAACAAACUAACCACUAAACAUUCAAUUUUUAUCUAAACUAGUAAGCGUGCAUGUGCAACGCACGUAAGUUUAGAAUUUUCUUCAAUAUUUUGAUUAUCUGAAUCAAAUUUUUGUUCAUAAUAUUUAUCAUAAUAACAUGUUAUGAUUUAACAGUAAUUGGUCUACAAUGAAAUUAUAUAAUAAUCCAAACUCUAAUUUCGGCGAACAACCUUUGCUAGCUAAAUGUGUCCAUGCCAUCCGAUCCCCAUCUUGCAACUGUGACCCCGAUGGUUUGAAUUUUUGAACAUGGUUGUAUCUUUCCUGCCGCACACAACACUCUACUUCCCGUCGAUGGUUUGAAUUUUUUAACAUGGUUGUAUCUUUGCUGCCGCAUGCAACGCUCUACCUCCCGCAUCACGCCAAAUCUUGUUUUUGGGCAUCACCAACGCCUUACCUCCCGUGCCAUGCCAAAUUUUCUUUUCAGGCAUCACCAACGCUCUACGCCCUGCGUCAAUGCCAAAUUUUCUUUUUGGGAUUAUCACCGGGGGAUUUUGUCCACCUAAAUAUAAUCAAACACCAUGGAGGCAAGCUCAAAUUGUUGUUAGCUUAGGUCAUCUCAACAACACCUAGAACAACAACCAGUCAACCAACCAAGCUAGAACAAAGAGGGCAUACCAAAGCAUCUACUUUUUAUCAACAUGGGAUAGAAUGUUCAAAACAAUGCCAUCAUAAUCAACAUGUGCAAAACAUAGCAAAAAAUAAGGAGAUUCCAUUCUUUUAUGCGAGGCAAUGAGCAACUUCAGCAGCCAGUGUCCUAUCACCUAGCAUGAAGACUGGGAACUUUGUCGUUCCAAGAUAUCCUUCAAUAUUUCACAAAACUUCAGGAAAUCACAAGUACAAAUACUUCGACAGCAUGAAAAUGAAAAAAAAUGAAAUAUUUGAACAAAAGAAAGCCACUGUAUAGCAGAUCUCAACCCAACUUACAUGGCAUCUUGUUAACCUAAAUAUUUCAUAAUCCGAAGAAGAAAUUAAGGUGCGUGACGAAACAUCAGCAAUAUAAACUCGCAUCGAUUUUUUCUCUGAGAAAAUAGAUUUCUGGACACCGGAGAUCAAGAUUUCAUCCCAUGAUUUCAUAACAAUCAACAUGUACAUGGCUCUCUGAUUAUAUUGUAGCCACUACCAUGGAUGUAGUUCUCCUCAUAUGGCUCGAAAGAAACAUGAUGCCCUGGGUUUCUGAACCUUGACCCACGCCACCCAUCUAUUUGUGACAAUUUAUGCCCAAAUUUAUAUCUGAAAUGUAUGCCUAGAUCUUUAACACACGAGCAAUAGAAAAACUAAAAACAUAAAUCGCCUAACCUUCUUUCUCAUAUGACUCAUGAUACAACAAGAAAUAUGAUUUUACGAUGUUUCGUCAUGCUUACAUGAACCAGAGCUACCAGGCACCAAUAUUCCACCAUUUGACAAUAACUGUAACAAUGAAGAAAGGCUACCAGACCACAUCUUUUACUACAUAAUGGAACACUAAUGUGCAAACAAAGGCCAAUAUUGCUCCAAUGAAGCAUUCAUAUCAUCAAGUAAGAACGGUUGCAUGUUUAUCACCUUCUCCAAACCAAUGAAAUUGAUGUUGUAACACAUUGUGCAUGCUAAGAAAGAAAUUGAUGAGGACAAUAUUACAUUUCUUCUUACAGCAGCAUACAUGCACCAUAUAAGAGGUCUAAAUCUUGAUGAUAGGUUCAUGCAUAAAGGAAGCGAAUUUGAAAAACAUAUCAGAAUCUUACGAAAUGAUCUUAACUCCAUGCAAAGUUGCUUAGUAGGAAAAAUAGCAGUGAAGGAUCAAGGUGGACAACAAAUAACAUUAAUAUAAUACUCCUUCAAGGUAAAUAAUAAAAAAUGGAAUCAUAGUGGGUACAAGUAUUUUGAAUAGUGAAGAGACGUACGAUAUACGUGCAAUGCACAUUUCCAAAAUUCAUAUAUAUGAAUAUAUGUAAAUAUAAGUUUUGCUAAUGUCAUAGUUUGCCAUGCUUCACUAACAUCUUAUCAUGUCAAAUCAUUGGUGGACAUCCCCUUUGUGCUGCAAUUUUUAAUUUUGUUUAACUUCCUAUCUCCACUUACAUCAUGGAUAACAUACAACAAAAUUUAAAUGAAAUUCAAUAAACUUCUAUCAGAUGAUAUGACUGUGAAGAUCAGUGCAGGUUAUGUCAUUGAGCAUCAUCUACUUACCCUUCAAAGUGUGACCGUAAUCCAAACUACAAUACAUGAAUUACCAUAUAGCUACCUUAUGGGGCAUAUAUGCCAUAUCCUCAUAUCUUCUUGUUUGGCAGAGUUCACCACUUGCAUAGUCUUGAAUGGAGAAGAUUGAACAUGCUCUCGUACAACUGGGCAAUGGUGUGGAACUCCAUAAGCGAUGGCGACGGUGCCGGAUACAGUUGUCCGUCCGGCAUGAUGGAGAAGCUUCAAGAACUAAUUUUUUUAUUCCUCGCCCAGGAUCUGUAAUGAACAUGUUAGUACACAAAUUAAUUUACCAACAUAGUGCACAAAACAGACAAUCGAAUUCUAAAUGUGGCCUCACAUGCUAAUAAUUCUACAUACAUGUAUGUUGUUCAAUCCAUCUAUGCUAUACAAUCCUAUUGUACACACAGGGAGUGAAGCGUGUAUGGAAUUAAACAAGCUAGUUGUAGACAUGCUAAUAGCAUCAGUUUUGUGUUAACCACAUAGUACUGCACUGCCAUGUACAAAAUCAGGAGAGGAAGGUACUUUCUCUACUUGCACGGGAGAAUCUUGAGACAGACUCUACGCUACCUGGACGGAGAAUCUUGUGGCGGAGAUUGGGAGGAGGUAGCAGAGGUGUUCUCGACAGCGGCGUGCAGUGGGCGGGGAACAAAAUCAAGCAAGAUAUUCAGCGUGUCUUCCUCACGGACAGUCUCAAGGUACUUCUUCUGAAACCACAGAAAUGGAUUAAGUAACUACGUGCUACAAGUUUAAAAAAAAGAAUCUGAUAUGUAGUCGAAAUUUAUCUGUUCACCACAGAAAAUGAGGAGCUUCACUUCUUCCUCGAGUUCUCUUAUAUGCGCGUGAUAGUAGAAACAAAAGCCAGAAAUCACCUCACAUGAAGAAAAAUCAGAACAAUUAAAUUGGUAACCAAUCUGCUGUGGAAGUGCUACUCACUUGGGCUUUCUCCCAGCUCGCGGUUGGUGCUCCCGAUCAAAGCUGGAACCAAAAUCAAACAAAGGAGAGACUUGGUGUAACCUGCAACGAAUGACUCCAAGUCUUUAGACAAUACGUACAAACCAGAAAACCAAAACGUGCAAAUCCCCAAAUCCCACGACUUGCUUUACUGAGAGGAGCUUGCCGGUGUCCAAAUUUAUCUCGAGGUAGACCUUCCAAAACAUACAGGAGCCGGUUAUCUCGCCCUUUUGCCAUCAGAUCGACAGGAUCUCUCCUGCUCGUCCGCUGCCGUUGACGGUGUCAGCGGCAGCAGGCGGCAUGGCGGCGAGGGGCUCUUGCAGAUGAGCCCGAGCAGUCCCAUCCCCCUUGCGGAGGCGCGAGAUGAUCCGGACGCCGAUCCCGCCAAGGGGCCCGACAGAGUGCUCCGUUGCGGCGCCGCUAAAGCAGAAGUUGACAAAUCGCCGGAGUCGAAUAAAUCGUGGGGCGCGAGCCCGCUGCUAUUCGAGGAAGGAGAUGGACCCGCCGCCGCCGACGCAGGCCGAGCCCGCUGCGUCCACCGCCGCCGCUGCCGCCACGGCCCGCGUCCGCUGAAUCCGCCACCGCCGCCGCUCGAGAGGGACACUCGCGUCGGUGACACAGGCCGAGCCCGCUGCAUCCCGCGCCGCCGACGCUGCUCGAGGCAGGAGAGUGACCCCGGCGCCGCCGACGCGAGCCGAGCUUCGCCCGGCGGCGUCCUGUAGUGAGGAGAGGGAGGGGAGGUGGAGAACCAGCGGCGCGGAAUCGGCCUGUGUGUUGCAGUAGGGGCGAGCGGGGAUCUGGGGAUGGAGCAGACGUCUGCUUGGGCAGAACAUUUGAUCUCAAUCGUUGAUUUGCAUCACGGACUAUUGAUGUAAUAUGGACUGUACGAUGUGUUUAAGUUAAUCUGAUCGGAGGGUUCUGACAGUCUUGUGUACAAUUUGUUGUGUGGCUUUAGGGGAGUUUAUGUUUGCUCUUUUAAUAGUAGUAUAGAUAAGAAAAAAAUGUGAAGUGUAUAUGUGGCUCAAGAGAUCGAGCUCAUCACCUCGGUUUGUUGUCAGCCGUUGGUGGGUGAAAGUCGGUAUGGAGGAGGUUGUCUGGGCCGCGUGCAGGGAUUUGGCUGGAGUGUGCCACCGGGACGAGAGGAGUGGUCUGGGGAGACGGCUGGAGAAGUUAUCGGGGUGUGGGUAGGUGUGGGCGACACAAUGGCAGUAAGGAUUAGGCGGCGGCGGAUCAGUAUGUAUAAGAAAUAAUUAAGGCCAGAUCAGAGUGCCUACGGUCGGCAACUUGGCAAAACAGUCCACGUGUGGAAAGAAAAAACUUCUUACGAAAACUAUGCCAAGUAUGGUGACGCGGGAGCUCGACAAAUUUGGCGGUAAUGCGGGAGCUCGGCAAACUCGGCCCGCCAUGACAAAGUACACAACAACCGCUGUUGUUGCCACAUGGCACAAACUUCGCCGAGUCCGGCCAGCAAGAAAUUCAGCAUAGUUAGUAUAAGCCGAGUUUAUUUUGUUUACUUACCUAGCUCUCAGCAACGGAAUACCUCUGCCGAGUCAUUACCAAGAACCGUACUUGGCUUACAUUGUUUUUUUCUUCGAGCCCCCGCAGUUUGACUCCCGGCAAAGAUAACAACACACGACAACGACUAAUUUCCAAGUAGUGACACGCAAAAAAUAAAAAUCUAAAAGGCAGAAGUAUAUUUUGUCAAAAGAAAACAAAAGUAAAAGCAGAAAUCUGGAUAUGAAUUUGUGUCAUACAUCUCAGUGCCAACAUAGCGUGACCAUCAGAAACAAAACUACGCCAAGAGUGGCCCUUGUUACAAAUUUGAGCAUGGAAACAAUGUACACAAUGUGCAUCGACGAAGAAUAACCACGAGAAGAAGCUCAGAGUGAUUGAUGUAGGGACGACCCUUGGAGUUGCGUAACGCAGAUCAUGUAGGAAUAAUAUAAAUAAUACUGUAGCCUAUAAAACUUGGGGAAAUCAAAUCAGCAUAU
rnacentral:lncRNA from 1 species